CGACCACCAUCUAUGUUGGACUUACGGUUCGUAAUUCCUUCUACGGACCGUACUGGUCAACCGUAGAAAGCGAUCAGAGACUCUAAAUUUGGCCAACAAUCGACGAAACCCAUGUAUGGCUCGUAGGUCUUCCUACGGUCUGUACAUGCCAACCCUAGAAACCAACUUUAAUCUUUGAAAUUUCACUAAGUAUAGGGGUGAAUUGUAAAAAGGGUACUGGGACUUGUUUUGAAAAAAUUAUUUUCCCACUACCUACGAUUGCCAACUACGACUCGUAGAAGCUUCUACGGUCCAUAGAUGGGACCCAUAGAUACAGACACCAGUCCAAAACAACAUUUUUCCUUAUUUGAGGUGUUAUAAUAUCUCCCCCUUGGGAAUAUUCGUCCUCGAAUGGAACUCAAGACAUCAUAAGGAGAGUAAGAAAAAGAUCUAAUAGCCCAACAUGAAUGCAAUCACAUAAUUGCACAGAUUCGAGGAGAAAAAUUGACUCCAAGCUAAAGCAUGUCCAAAUAUUAUUUCAUAAGGCCUAUAUGCAACUCACACUCAAAUGCACAUAAACAUGGAGAAAUCAAUCAAGUUAACUCAUUUUCUCAAAAAUCAUGUUUUCAUGAGCAUGCAUUCAUGAGGAAAUAUGAGAAUGCCUAAGAUAUAAGGAUGAACCAUGAGGAACUAAAUACUUCAAGCUAAAGUGGAGUCAGAGGGAAAGAGAUUAUGGUACGACACUUCAUAUCGGCCUCUGCCUCCCAAUUAGAACCCUCAACUAACUGAUUCCUCCAAAGAACCUUUACGAAAGCAACUUUCUUAUUUCUCAACUUUUUAACUUGCCGGUCCAAAAUCUCAAUUGAAACUUCUUCAUAAAGAAAGAUUUUCCUUAACUCCCAAACUUUCCAAGGGAACAAUGAAUGUUGGAUCUCCAACACAUUGCUUCAACAAGAAGACAUGGAAAAUGGGAUGUAUCAAUGCCAUAUCAUUAUGUAAAUCAUUUUCAUAAGCAACUUUGCCAAAACACUUUUAAAUUUGAUAUGGGCCCACAUAACAGGGACUAAGCUUCCCUUUCUUUCCAAACCUUAUCACACCUUUCAUGGGUGAGAUUUUCAGGUAAACUCAAUCAUGAAAAUUAAACACAAGGUCUCUCAUUCUAACAUCGACAUAGGACUUUUGUCAACUUUUUGAGUUGUUUUCAACCUUUGUCUAAUAAGCCAAACUCUCUCCAUAGCCUUAUGUACAAACUCGGUACCUAUCAAAGCAACAUCGCCAACUUUAAACCAACCUAUAUAUGAUCUGCACCUCCUACCAUAAAGAGCCUCAAAUGGAGCCAUACCAAUGGUGGAAUGAUUGCUAUUAUUGUAAGCGAACUCAAUCAAAGACAAAUGAUCAUACCAAUUACCCUUGAAGUCAAUCACACAAACUCUCAACAUAUCUUCCAAAGUUUGGAUAGUACGCUCCGCUUGCCCAUCAGUUUGUGGAUGAAAGGUCAUACUAAUCUUAACACGAGUAGCAAGACCCUUUUGAAAAGAUUUCUAAAAUUGAGAGGUAAAUUGGGUGCCACGAUCGGAGAUAAUGGAUAAGGGCACUCCAUGAAACUUAACCACCAAACCACAAAUCGUUAUUUUUUCAAUUUGAUUUGGUUUGUCAGUUUGGUUUUACUUUACAGUCUGGCUUGUACACCCCAAACUACAAGUACACCAUAUGGUUCUAAGACGAGGGUAGGGGACCAGACCCCAGAUCAAAAGAAUCAAGCUCUGAUUAUUAUUGAUCUGGUGGGUCAGCCACCAAUGGUUCCUGCACCGGUUGUUGGUCCACAGAUUGCUCUUGAGGUUAUUUUGACAACAGUUGCUCAGCAGUGUUAUAAGAGGUUUCAGAAGAUUAAACCACCCUAGUUUCUGGGUGGUAAUAGUGAGGAUGCUCAUGAGUUCUUAACUUUGUGGCAUGAGAUGCUUGAGGCAGUGGGUAUGGUGGAUACUCAUGGUGUUCGAUUGUUGCACUUCAGCUUCGUGGAUGUUCCAAAGAGUGGUGGAGGACUUUUAUGAGGUCUAGACAUAUUGGAUCUCCCCCGUCAGAGUGGUAGGUGUUCUCUAAUGCUUUGCAGGACUACUUCAUUGUCGAUUAAGGUUUGAGAGCUUGAAUCAAGGUAGUUUGUCUAUGACCGAGCAUGUGGCCCAUUUAUGUGAGAUUUCUUGGCAUGCUAAGACUAUUGUUCCGAUGAGGUAGAGAGAGUCCACAAGUUUGUGAAAGGGUUGACUUUCUCCAUUAGAUAGUAUGUGUUCAUAAAAGCCAAAGAGGGGGCUUCUUUCUAGUCCAUUGUGAGCACCGUCAAGAAGGUGGAGUUGAUGGUUUUAUAGGAGUUUGGGGAGCCCAAGAGGGGUCAUUCGUCUAGAGACUUUUCUGGUACCUCAUAUGGAAGCAGAGGUUUGCAUAGAUUUCAUAGUUCCUUUCACCAUCGUAGAUCAGUUCAAGCAUCUAUGCUAGCAGCUGAUAGUGGACAACCUGAUAGAGGAUCUUAUGAUUGUGGGUGAGGUGGCUAUGAUAGUCUGUCGUGUUCGCAACAACAGUUAUAUGUGUCAAUGUUUUGUUAUUCUUGUAGGGAUUCAGGUCAUUUGAUGUAUAGUGUCCUUUACAGACUCACUUAGAACCCCAUCGUUCUUAUUUAGCUGCCCAGCUAGGGAUUCAGCGCCUCCAACCAAUGGUCGAUGAAGAGGUCAGUUUGGUAGAGGCAGUAGAACUUCUUGUAGGGGUGUUCCCGCUUCACAUGGUGGAGGUAGGGGUUCUAAUCAAACUGUAGGUGGAUAAGAGGGCCAGUGUUAUGAUUUUCUAGGGAGGGAUGAGGCCAAGACUUCUGAUGUGGUGAUCACAUGGAUCAUCCCAAUUUACCAUCGACCUAUAUAUGUAUUAUUUGAUAUGGGGUCUACUUUCUCAUAUGUGUCUACCUAUUUUGUUCUUGGAUUUAAUAUGAUUUUUCAUUGCAUACAUAUGCAUAUUCAUGUUUCAACACCAGUGGGUGAGUCCUUAGCGGUGGAUCAAGUGUAUCAAUCAUGUCUUGUUUCUUUAGUCAAGUAUGAUACUUGGGUAGACUUGAUCAUUCUGGGAAUGGUAGACUUUGAUGUUAUUUUGUGUAUGGAUUGGCUCACUCCACAUCAUGUUAUUCUUGAUUAUUAUGCUAAGACUAUGACCUUAGGGAUCUCGGGUGUCCCGAGAGUUGAGUGGACGGGAGCUAGUGGUUCUUACCCUAGAAAAUUAACUCAUUCAUUCGAGCUCAGAGAUUGGUUGAUAGAGGGUGUUUGUCCUAUCUAGAUUUCAUUCGGGAUACUACUGUUAAGCCUCCUCCCCUGAAUUUUGUGCCCGUAAUUCAAGAGUUUUUAGUUAUGUUUCCUACUGACUUCCAGUUGUUCCUCUGGACGGGGAUGUUGAUUAUUCUAUUGACUUGAGCCGUGCACCAAGCCCAUCUUUAUUCCUCAUUAUUGUAUGGCUCAAGCUGAGUUGAAGGAAUUGAAGGACCAGUUUCAGGAUUUGUUGAGUAAGUGGUUUAUUCACCCUAGUGUUUCUCCGUGGGGUGAUCUUUUGUUGUUUGUGAGGAAGAAGGAUGGAACCAUGAGGAUGUGUAUUCAUUAUCGACAGUUGAACAAAGUGACCAUGAAGAGUAAGUAUCCUCUUCUUCGUAUUGAUGACUCGUUUGAUCAGCUUCAAGGUGCAUCUCUAUUUUUAAGAUUGAUUUGAGGUCCGGUUAUCACAAGCUGAAGAUGAGGACAUCGGAUAUCCCUAAAAGAGCUUUUGGGAUUCCUUAUGUGCACUAUGAGUUUCUUGUGAUGUCUUUUGAGUUGACUGGUGCUCCUGCAGCAUUCAUAGAGUUGAUGAACGGGGUAUCCCGACCUUAUCUUGAUUUCUUUGUGAUAGUGUUCAUUGACGACAUCAUGGUGUACUCCAAUAUUGAGAAGGAUCACUAUAUACAUUUGAGGAUUGUACUCCAGCGACUAAGGAAAAAGAAGCUUUAUUCCAAGUUCUCAAAGUGCAAGUUUUGGUGUGAUUUUAUGGCAUUUCUAGGACAUGUGGUAUCCAAGGAGGGUAUUCAGGUGGAUCCAACCAAUAGUGAGGCAGUUUGAGGAUAGACCAUACUGACGUCAGUUACUAAGAUUCUGAGUUUUGUUGGACUUGCAGGUUAUUACAGACAAUUGGUUUAGAGUUUCUCCACUAAUACAUCUUCUUUGACCAGAUUGACUUGACAGAGUGUGAUCUUCUGGUGAUCUAAUGAAUGUGAGGAGAGCUUUCAAAAGCUCAAGACCUUUUUGACUUCAACUCUUGUUUUGACCUUACUCGAGGAGGGUGUAGUUUUAACUAUUUAUUGUGAUGCUUCUGGAGUGGGGUUAGGUGGUGUUUUGAUGUAGAAAGGUAAGGUGAUCGCCUAUGCUUCUUGGCAGUUGAUGACCCAUGAGAAGAAUUAUUGUACCCAUGAUUUAGAGUUGGCAGUCGUAGUGUUUGUGUUUAAGCUUUGGCGUCAUUAUCUGUAUGGAGUUCAUUGUGAAGUCUUCACGAAUCAUCGGAGUCUUUAGUAUAUCUUUAGUCAGAGGGAAAUGAAUUUGAGGUAGUGCAGAUUUCUUGAGUUACUAAAGGACUGCGAUAUCACCAUCUUGUUUCAUCCAAGGAAGGCCAAUGUAGAGGCCGAUGUUUUGAGUAGGAAUACAUCUAACAUAGAGAUUCUUUCUGCUAUUAGUGUGAAGGAGAAACCAUUGGCUAGAGAUGUUUAGAGAUUAGCCGACAGUCUCGUCUGAUUACAGAUUUCUUAAGAGACAAGUGGUUUGAUUAUUUUUAUAGAGUUUUAUUCUUGCUUAGUUGAGCAGAUGUAUGAGCAUCAAUUUGAUCGAGAACAUAGGUCUUAUUCGAGACAAGGUGAUGAGGGGGAAGCCAAGUAGGUUGUCCUUGACUCAGAGGGUGUCUUGACAAUUGGGGUUAGGAUCUAUGUGCCUAAGGUGGGCGAGUUGAUUAGAUUGAUUCUUGAGGAAGUCCAUUGUUCCCGAUAUUACAUCCAUUUAUCGGCGGCAAAGGUGUAUCACGACAUGAGCCAGAACUAUUGGUGGGGUGGGAUGAAGAGGUAUAAUUAUGAUUUUGUUUCGAGGUGCCUGACUUGCUAACAGGUCAAGUAUGAGCAUCGACAUCUCCGAUGUAUAUCUUAGAGGAUGCAUAUUCCUAACAGGAGGUGAAAAUGGAUCACUAUAGAUCUUUUUGUGGGUUGACCUACCAUUGUGGGUGGUUAUGACUCCAUCUGGGUGGUUUCCAAGUCCACCUAUUUCAUCCUGGUUUGGGUGAAGUAUACGAUGGAGAAGUUAGCGAGCCUUAUAUCAGUCAGAUUGUGCGACUACAUGGAGCCCCUAUUUUUAUUGUCUCUGAUCGAGGUUCUUUGUUCAUUUCCCAUUUCUAGAAGGCAUUACAGCUUGGCGUGGGUAAUCAUUUAGAUAUAAGUACAACCAUCCAUCCUCAAAUAGACAAUUUGUCAGAGCGGAUGAUUCAGGUGUUGGAGAACAUGCUUCAAGCUUGUGUGAUUUAUUUUGGUGCAAAUUGGGUUCGACAUUUUCCCUUAGCGAGUUUGAUUACAACAAUAGUUACCAUUCUAGCAUUCAAAUGACCCUAUUUGAGGCGUUGUAUGUCGUACGGUAUAAAUCUGCGAUCGGACGGUUUGUUUUAGCUAAGUUGGAUUCAUUAAACUUUCUUACAUAUGCUAUGGAGAAGGUUCUUAUGACCCAAGGUAGACUUUUGAUAGCCUAGAGUUGACAUAAGAGUUGUGCAGAUCGGAGAGUUAGAGCACUAGUGUUCAUGAAGGGUGAUUAGGUUUUGCUAUGAGUGUCGCCCAUAAAGGGUAUGAUGAGGUUCGUAAAGAAGGGAAAGAUUAGCCCUAAAUUUAUUGGACCUUUUGAUGUUUUAUUCGUAUGGAAGAGGUGGCCUAUAAGCUGGCCUUCCCACCUAACUUGUCAGUUAUGCAUCAUAUCUCUAUGCUUUAAGAGUACGUGGCGGAUGAGUCCUAUGUACUUUCUCUCGAUUCAAUUGAGUUGGGUCCAAAUUUAUCUUUUAAGGAGGAGCCUAUAGCCAUUUUGGAUAGGUAGGUCUGAAAGCUUAGAACCAAGGAGAUUGCUUCACUGAAGGUGCAGUGGAAGCACCGUUUAGUUGGUCAGGUGACUUGGUAGACAAAUUCAAAUAUGCAUGCCAGAUAUCCACAGUUUUUGGAAGCUUUAGGUACUUUCUUUUACUUUAUAUUCAAGGAAGAGCAUGUUUUUUAGUGGUGGAUGAUGCAAUGACAUGGUUGUUCAUUUUUGGAAAGUUUCAUAAAUUUAACGUUUUUCCCUCUUGAUAUCAACCCUGAGUCGUUUAUGAUUAAGUUUUGAUAGUUUGUUUUGAACAUUUAGUUUAAAGUUGAUAUUUUGGUAAAAUUUGAGUUUGAAAGGCUUAUAUUGUUAAGAAAGUGGCUUUUGAUGUCUAUUGAAUUAUUAAGGGUUAAAUGGAAUUAUGUCGAUUCCAUUAGCCCCAGGAUGUAGAAUAUGGUUAGUGAGAGUUGUCGAUUUCAGAUUCGACAUAUUGAGGAUUUGAGAUCCUAAGUUGGCAUAUUGUGAAAAUUUAUCCUUUUAGUUGACUUUGGUCAACAUUCAAGUUUCAGAUGCUCAUAUCAGAAUACUGAGAGUUUCAUCGGAUUCAGGGGAUGAUUUUAGGCUUAAGUGAGGUCUUGUUUGAAUUUAGAGAGGUCAUGAGCUUGUCUUAAGCCUUUUUAGGCGUUAUGUUAGUUUCUUGUAGUUCUCGCAAAUGUCAAGUGAAGGAGACCUCGGAUUAGUGUUUCAAUGGUUCCAUUGAGUCUAGAACAUCAAUUAUUAUUAAUUUGAAUAUGUGGUUUGUGUGUAUAGGGUUCAAAAUGAAUCCCGAGGGACCUUUCGAUAAUUUAUGAGUUGGUUGUGUUUGUUGGUGUCUGCAGGCCUUGCUUUUCGAAGAAAAUGCGCUUAAGAGACCUUCGCAGAAGCGAGAUCCUCUUUGCCUUAUCUACCUUCACAAAGGUGAAGAAUUCUUCGGUUUUUCAGAGGCACUAUUUUGCGGGGUUCUAUUUUGCAUCAUUAGAGAGGGGUUUUGACAUGCAAAUUUUGGGAUUUCAACCGCAUUUUGAAUUUUUGAGCUUGGUAUACCCUUUGAUGCGAUCUUUGAAAGGAUUUCUUGUGCUAAAUCAUUUAGGUAAGCUUUUGUGAUCCUAAAACUUCAUUUCCUUUUGAUUAUUUAUGGAUUUUAACAUCAGAAUUUGGGAUUUUGAUUGGUAAAUGGAAGGUUUUUCUAGAACUCAAGUUCUAAACUAAAAUGGAGAUUGUGAAUUGAUCUUGAGUUCUCUUUCAAAAUGGUUUUCACUAAUAAGUUCUCAAGGUCUUGAGUAAUAUUUUCAGGUAUUGAAUUUCGGAUUCAAACCUCAUUUUUGGAAUUGUGUUUUUGGUUGAUUGACCCAUUUUUCAAGUAUAUGUGUUAGGUAUUGUUGUUUCCGAAUAUUUAUUAUGAAUACUUAAUUGAAAUAGAUUGUGUGUCUUUGGACAUUGAUCGAAAGGGAAAGACUCAAGUUUUGGAGUGACUAGUUGAUUGAUUUAAGAUAAGUGAUCUCCUAAACCUUGUAAUAUAGUAGAAUUUGUGUAUUCCCUUCGUUGUUGUUUGUUGGGAGUAAUGGGAAUGAGGUGAGGGAUUCAUUGUUCAACUUGAUCAAGCUUAAAGAAUAAAUUUGUUGAUCAUGAUGCUUGUGAUGGCAUUGAUUGAUGAAAUGCUUGAUAGCAUGAAUGUUGACUUGAAUUGCUUGAAUUAUUAUCUCUUCCUUAUGGUGUGAACUUUCUUAUGUGCAUUGAUUAAUGUACACUGUGUGUCUCGAUAAAGCCGAUGGGAAAUGGUUCCAGGUAGUGAAUAUAAAGUUUAUGGGAAUGGUUAUGGAUAGUGAUAUGAUAUAAAACUGAUGGGAAAGGGUUUCGGCUAGUGAUUUGAUAUAAAGCCGAUGACAAUUGGUUCUAGCUAGUGAAACGAUAUAAAGCCGAUGGAAAAUUGUUCAGAUUAGUGAUUUGCAAUAAAGUCGAUGGGAAAUGGUUCUGACUAGUGAUAUUGUACCGAUGGGAAAUGGUUCGGGCAAGAGACUAAUUAUUGUGAUUUGAUGAAUUUUGAUGUUUAUGUUCGACUUACUUGUUAACUUAGAUUGAUGCUCGUGAUACUUGUGAUUGAGCUUUUUGACAUUGAGAUUGACUUACUUGAUUCGUGUUGAUUGUUGGAUUGUGAUAAUUGGACUGUGAUUAUUGAGCCGUGCGAGUUGUGUAUUGUAGAACUGUUAGGUUAGGCUAAUUUUUGUGCAGGUUGUAGGUGUAGGAGGUUCAGUUGGGAUGAAAAGACUAUUUGAUUUCUAGCUUGUUGCCUUGUUUAUUAGGUUGUUUUUAGGUAUCGAGGCUUGUUGAAGGACUUGAGAGGUAGUUGUUUGUCAACCUGGCGGGCCCUCUUUUUCCUUUUCUCUAUACUUUGUUCUAUUUGAAAGACAAAGACUUGAGACUUGUACUUAUUUCUUAAUUCUGCACUUUAUGUAUUAGUGGAUUGUACAUGUGACAACCGGGUUUUGGGGUGUUAAUAGAAUGAAUAAGUUUUUCAACUUUUAUCUUGUUCUUGCUUUAUCUUUCGGUAUUUCUUUCUUUUCAUUGAGUUGAGGCUGACUUCUCUUGGUGGGAAUAGACAAGUGUAACACCUUGGAUUUGAAAAAUAAGGAAAAUAAAAAAAAUUGGGCUAAAGUUUAUGUCAAUGGGUCCCCCAUCUACUGACUAAAGAAGCUUCUACAUGUUGUAGAUGGCAACCAUAGGAAGUGGGAAAAUAAUUUUCUAAAAAUCAAGUCUCAUUACCCUUUUUACGAUUCACUAGGACGGUCCGUCAACCAUUGUAAAGGGUAAAAUUGGGAUCUACGAUUGGCAUCAACGGAUCGUAGGAAGGACUACGCGUCGUACAUGGGAUCCAUCAAAAGUUGGUCCAAGUAAUGGUUUCUAAACUUAUCUACGGUCAACUACUAUGGAUUGUAGAAAGACCUACAGACCGUAGGUCCAAACCGUAGGUGAGGCUUGACAAUUAUUUAUAAAGGGAUUUUGUCUCUUUUCCUAAUUGUUUUAACCUAAAACGAUGUCGUUUUGCCUUGUACCCUAAGCCCUAUAUAAACGUUUUAAGUCCCCAAUUUACCCAUUUCAACUCAUUCUCCUAAAUCUCCUAAACUUGACCAAAUUCAUCCUCCCAAUUCUCUCAAGUCUAAGGAAGAAGAAGAAGACCUACAUUCUAUUCAAAUCUCCAAAUUUUCCAUUUUCUUGGGCUUAAAAGAUCAAGGUAUGAGUGUAUUCACCCAUGGAAUCCCUUUCUCCAUAGGGUCCCAAGGAUUUUAAUUUCCCUAUUAUAUUUUCAAUUGAUCAAAUUAGGGUUUCAAUUCAAUGAAUGUGGGUUUCAUCUAAUUAUGAUUGAUUUUCGUUAAUUAGGUAUUCUAAUGCAUGAAUUGAUGUUAAUCCAAGAUAUUUAGUUGAAAUUCCACUAACGCUGCCUAAAUUUUAUUUUUCAACUAUGAUCUAUGAUGAACUCAUGAACUAUGAAUUAUGAGUAUAUGAAGAUAUGCAUGUUUUUAUGAGGUUAUUGUAAAUGAAUUGAUGAUGCUUUGAAAGGAAAGUAUUGAUGCUAUGGUGAAAAGAUUUCUCAAUUACUAUGAAAAUCAUGAUUGUGAAAGGUAAUUCUCACAAAUGAAUUCACAUUGGUGAAAGGUGUACUCAUCUAUGUUGAACUAUGUUUAAGGAGCUAUUCUAUAUUUUGAUCUUAUAAGUUGUGGAUUGGUAUUGAUUGUUUCCUUUCCCUAUGUUAAAUUGAUAUUUCACUUUUAUCUAUUCCUUUGAGAUUUAGACUUAGCACUGAGAGGUCUUUGAUGUGGAGGCUCAAAUAGGGUAGUCACAAGUAGCAAUCUCUAGUCCCAAACUAUGUGCCUCCAUAGUAUGUCUUAAACGACCUAGCUAGUGGAUCCACUUUAGCAAAUGAUGAUAUGUACGGAUUCUACCUUGGCAAGUAGUUUCCCCUUCUUUCAGUAUGAGGGAUAUACCAUAUUCCAUGAUAUAGCUCUCAUCAUCUUAUUGUCGGUUAAAUCUAAGAUCCCACAAAAUGACUAUAUUUUUCUUCUUUAUUGUCGGAUAUACCUUUAUGUUAAUCUAUUUGACUAUGUUUUAUGAUCUUCACGUCAUUUCUUCUCUAAAAGAUUUUAAAUGUUUCAUUAUGAUCAUGCCUAUUCAUUUUAAGUCAUUCAUGAUAUCAUGCCUAUAUUUAUGCAUAUUGCCUUAUACUUAGUACAUUUCAUGUACUAAUGCAGAUUUGUGCCUACAUUGUUUCACUAUGUAGGGUCUGACGCUCCAACCUCCUAUACUAGUGGCUAGUUAUCCUUCAUAGAUUUGAAGAUUGGUGAGUCCCCUUGUUCCAAGGAUCGAGACUCCUUUAUUGUUUUAUGUCAUUUUUGUUUCCAACUUUGUAUGUGAUGUAUGGGUUACAUCCCAAUCACUUUACGAUGUAUUAGAUGGCUUUGAGACUUAUGUUAGACUUCCGCUAAUUUUCAAACUCUCUUUAUGUAUAAAUGCUAUUAUUAAAAGAUUUUACUUCUAUUAUCUUGUAUGAUGUAUGCUAAGUGACUUGUACAGGGCCUCUCGGGGUUCUAUACGUCAUGUUACGCCUAGGGUAUAUUUUGGGUUGUGACAAACUUGGUAUCCAAAGCAUAAGGUUUAGAAGGUCCUACGAUGUCUCGUAAGCCACAUCAAGUAGAGUAUUGUUCAUGAGUGUGAAGCACGCCACAUUUAUGCGAAGAAAGCUAUAAGAUUUUUAAGAAAUUCUACUUCUUUCAUCAUUCUAAAUUCGUGUGAUAGAGUUUAACUCUAUAUGUCUCUCUUUUCUAAACCUUAUCCAAUACUUUUCAAGAUAUAACCCCUGGAAAAGAAUACAUUAAAAGGAAUGCGGGUGAAAAUGUGGAAUGAAAAGCUCCACAGGUUUCGGCCGACCCUUUGGCUGAACAAGUGACUAAUACAGAGUUUAGGGAUGCUCUUCAAGUGUUGGCUCAAACCAUGACAGCUUAAGACAAUAGGGAGGCUGUGGUCCCGUGAACCCAAAUAUGGAUAUGGCGGCAACUAGAGUAAGGGACUUCACUAGGAUGAAUCCACCGGAGUUUCAUGGUUCUAAGGUUGAGGAAGAUCCUCAAGAGUUUAUUGAUGAGGUAUACAAGGUGCUCAUGAUCAUAGGAAUGACACUGGUGGAAAAGAUGGAAUCGUCCUCUUACCAACUUAAGGGUGUUGCUCAAGUUUAGUUCAACCAAUGGAAGGAAAAGAGGAGGUUGAUGUGGGUCCUCUUGAUUGGAAAAAGUUACGGUCACUUUUCUUGAUAGGUUUUUCCCCUUGAGAUGAGGGAAGGUACUUAAAUUCAUAAACCUUCGUCAAGGUAAUAUGAGUGUGAAGGAGUUACAAUUGUUUAGGUAUGCUCCUACUAUGGUUGUUGAUCCUAGGGCAAGGAUGAGCAAGUUUGUUUCGGGAGUGUCUGAGAUGGUAGUAAAAAAUAUUGUAACGUCAUGCUCAUUAUUGAAAUGGACAUCUCUUAUCUAAUGAUUCAUGAUCAACAAAAGGAAGAGGAGAAACUUAAGAAAAGGUUUAGGGAGGCAAAGAGAGCAAAUACCGAUGAUGGUGACUUUCCACAUUCAACGUCCGAUGGACAUGGUCAUUCUAAGUUCCAACAAAGGUUCUCCGGUUAAGGUUCCUCCAAUGAUCUGUCUCCUAAGUUCAAAAAGUAAAGGGUGUCUAACCCUAAGCCUCAAGGAGGAAAUGGUGGUGGAAAUGGUUCUUCGAUUCCUGCAUGCCAAAGGUAUGGCAAGAGUCAUCCAGGAAAAUGCUUGAUGGUUGCGGAUAAUUGCUUUGGUUGUGGUAAGUGUGGUCACCUCUUGAGGGAUUUCCUAUCUAGAAAUGAAAACGAAAUUGAUGGUAGGCAAGCUCCGCCAAGUGGUUCGGGUUCAAGUGCUCUAAAGUAAAACUGAUUUUAUCCACUUCAAACUCGUCAUGAUCUAGAGGGUUCCCCCGAUAUGGUUAUCGGUAUGUUGAAAUUAUUUCAUCUUGAUGGUUAUACUUUACUUGAUCCCGGAGCUACAUUGUCUUUUGUGACACCAUAUAUGGCUAUGAGGUUUGAUGUUCUCCCGAAUGUGUUGAUAUACUCUUUUUCUGUCUCUACACCUAUUGGUGAAUCUAUUGUAGCUAAAAGAGUCAAUAGAAAUUGUCCCGUCUCCUUACCCCAUAGAGUCACUCAUGUUGAUCUUGUGGGGCAUGAUAUGUUAGAUUUCAAUGUUAUUCUUGGUAUGGAUUGGCUCCAUUCUUGUUAUGCUUAUGUUGAUUGUAGAACCCGAGUGGUCAAGUUUCAAUUUCCAAAUGGACCCGUCCUAGAGUGGAAAGGGGGAAUUUUUUUUUGUCUGAGGGUCAGUUUGUUUAUUGUCUUAAAGCUAGAGACAUGAUUUCUAAGUGUUUCAUAUACCAUCUUGUUGGGGUUAGGGAUAUGGAUUCUGAAACCCCUAUCUUUGAGUCGGUCUCUCUUGUUAAUGAGUUUCCAGAAGUAUUUCCCGAUGAUUUACCUGGUGUUUCUCCCGAAAGGGAAAUAGACUUUUGUAUUGACCUUCUCUCAGAUACGCAACCUAUCUUUAUUCCUCCUUACCGAAAGGGUCCGACAAAACUUAAGGAGUUAAAGGAACAAUUGAAAGACUUGUUGGAAAAGGGUUUCAUCCGACUAAGUAUCUCUCUAUGGGAGCUCCAGUUUUGUUUGUUCAAAAGAAAGAUGGUUCACUUCACAUGUUUAUUGAAUAUCGUCAAUUGAAUAAGGUUGCCAUUAAUAAUAAGUAUUAUCUUCCAAGAAUAGAUGACUUGUUUGAUAAACUUCAAGGAACGAGUUAUCUCUCUAAGAUCGACCUCCGGUCGGGUUAUCACCAAUUGAAGGUGAAGAAAAAUGAUAUUCUACAGAUGGCUUUUCAAACUCGGCAUGGUCAUUAUGAGUUUUUCAGAAUGUCAUUUGGUUUGACUAAUGCUCCGGCCACAUUUAUGGAUUUGAUGAAUAGAGUGUUUUGACAAUAUCUUGACAUGUUUGUGAUUGUGUUUAUCGAUGACAUUUGAUCUACUCAAGGAGUGAGGACGAGCACACCAAUCAUUUGAGGAUUAUGUUGCAAGUCCUCAGGGACCAACAACUCUUUGCAAAGUUUAGUAAAUGUGAGUUUUGGUUGAGGUUCGUGGCUUUUCUUGGUCACAUUGUUUUCGGUGAGAGUAUAGAGGUAGAUCCUAAGAAGACGGAUGUGGUUAAGAGUUGGCGUGGAACUCUAUCCCCUUCGAAUAUUCAAAGUUUAUUGGGCUUAGCUGGUUAUUACAGAAGGUUUAUGGAAGGGUUUUUUUUAUUACCUCUCCAUUGACGACAUUGACCCAAAAGAAAGUUAAGUUUGUAUGGUCUGAAGUGUGCGAGAAGAUUUUCCAAGAAUUGAAAGAUAGACUAACCUCCGCUUCGAUGUUGACUUUACCGGAAGCAUCUAAUGGGUUUGUUGUUUAUUUUGAUGCUUCAAGGAUUGGACUAGGGUGUGUCCUUAUGCAAAAUGGAAAGGUUAUUGCUUAUGCUUCACGACAACUUAAGUGUCAUGUCCCAAGGGUACCCCUUAGACGUAACAAGGCACAUAGAACCCCCAAAGGCUCCAUGUAAGCCACUUAGCAUAUCAUAACAUAAGCAUAGAACAAUAAAGAGUAAAAAUGCAUUUCAAGUCUAAAAUUUUCAUAAAGGAAAGCAGAAGUCUAGACUUGUCUCAAUAUAGUCAUCUACUAUAAUACUCGAAUCAAAUUGGGCCUAGCCCAUACAACAUGUCCGAAAAUAGAAAUAUGCUAAAAUAAACUACAAAGAUAGCAUCCGUCUUCGAAUCAUGAGGACUCACCCACAAGCAAGGAUAAAUGAUCAAUUCCAAGCUCUAGCCACGAUGGGGACCACCUUGAGAACCGGACCCUACACUUGGGGAAAAUGUAAGAAAAUAUGAGUUAGUACAAAAAUGCACUAAGUAUGGUAGCCAUGCGUAAAAAUCAUGAAAACAUGCUAAAAGGGACAUUUUAGUUGAAUGCAUGCAAUUUACUAAGUUAAAGCAACAUUUUGAAGAUAAUGGAAAAAUAUAAGUCAUAAGCAUAUUCAUCACAAACAUCAUCACAUUAUAAGAGAACCAUACGAUAAGUACCCUCAAAGCAUACUUGUGCAAUGCAUGAAUAAGAUCCCAUAAUCCCACCCAUGCUAAGUAAAACUUCUUGAGUAACCAUAGUUCAUAAUUCAUAUUCUUGUUCAUAAUGGGAAUAAGCCUUAACCGACAUAGACCGUGUGAGCUUAACAUGGAAUCUGGUGUUACCCACACCGAAAAGGGUUGUCCUACUUUCCUAAGGUAAGACUAUCAUUUGUUAGCUUUUAGGUGGAUACAUUAGCUAAAUAUCCUACGGGGGCACGUAGUUUAUGGGAUAAGGAGAUUGUUACUAGAAACCCCAACCUUUCUUAAUGGGGGAGCUUCUAUUUCAUGAGAUUGCUUCUAGAAACCCAGCCUUACUUAACGGGAGAGCUUCCAUCUCAUAUUCAAUAUCCACUUGGUGCUAAGCAUAAUUACCAUGGAGUACUUAUUAAGCCCUAAUUUGUUUCAUUAGGAUAGCUUAUUAGAUCAUGUGUGAGAAUAACCUUUCACCGUCAAUCUCUACAUACUACUUUAGAUUCAAUUAGGUAAGAAUUGUCUUUCAACCUAGAAUCUCCAUUAUGUGAGAAAACCUAUAACAUUAUGUUAAUUAUGUGUUCAUGAGAAUAGUCUUUCAAUCAACACAACAACAUCAUCAUAAUCAUGAACACUUCACACUCAAAGUGUUCUUAAAGCAUACACAUACAUCUCAUAAUCAUGCAUAACUCUCAUACUUUGCCCUUAAAGGACCAUAGAUCAUAUUCAACCCACACAUCUAGAAUUACUACAUUAGAUAUGGAUAUAAUCAUAAUUCAAAUAACCCAACUAGCACAAGCAUAAUCUCAUAAUAUUCUUCUAUAAUCAACAAACCCACAUCACAAGAUCAUACUUGAGGAAUAUGGGGAUUUCAUGGGUUCUUGGGGAUUUCAACAUAAAAACCAUCAUAAAUCAUCAAUUCAAUCAUAAUAUAAAGUAAUUCCAACAUUAGAAUCAUUUUUGAAAGGAAUCCAUGACUUGGAGACAAACCCUAGCUUUUGGGGAAUUUCUAUCUUCAAAAUUGGGGUUUUGAAGGGACGCCAUGGAUGAAUAACUACCAUACCUUAGCAAUGGAAUCCAAUGAAAUUGAGUAGAAAAACUUGUUCCUUGAACCCUAGCUCCAAUUUCCUUCUUAUUCCUUGAAGUUCUAGAGAGAGAUUUUUGUAGAAAAGGUGAAUUUUUGGGAAUUAUUUGGAUGUUUGGGAAAAAUGACAUAGUUUUGGUGAAUUUGACUUUAAAAUGACUUAUAUAUUGACCCUAAACUUACCCAAAAUGACUUCACUUUGAUAGGACUUAAAACGGAAGUUCCUAAAAUAACCCUCACUUAAAGUGAGCUGCUAGGGACCACGUGGGGAUCCAUGAGCCGUGGUCCCAUCCGUGGUCUUGAGGCAAUAGCUAGGCAGAUUGUGCCUUUAGCUCACAAGCCCAAGGCAUCUUCAUGAGGGGCACCACAAGCCGUGGAGCAAGCCACGAGUCGUGGUCCCUCUCGUGGGCCUUGAGGCAGUGGCUUGCCACUUUCCUCACCAUGCUCACACCACCAAGGCAUGACCGAAGGCCACUCCCACGAGCCGUCUAAGGCUUCACGAGCUGUGAAGUGGCUCAUGUGGAGGGGUCAACUUGAGGCAGCCUUAAGGAGGCUACUACCUCCACCUUCACGAGUGGCACCACGACUCGUGGUGACCACCACUAGUCGUGAAGACCCUCGUGGUCUUGGGGCAGUGCCUUGGCAAGGCUUGGGCAUCCUUGGCCCUUGGUUCUUGCCCUUCUUCCUUGACUCUAACCUUAACGUUCAUCUCUAGUUUAGCCAACUAGUUUCUGGGGUGUUACAUUAUGAUUCUUGAAAGGAACUAUCCUACCAAUGAUUUGGAACUAGCGGCGGUUGUUUUUGCCUUAAAGAUUUGGAGACAUUGCUUAUAUGGUGUUCAUGUUUAUGUCUUUAUCGGUGACAAAAGUUUGAAAUAUGUGUUCAAGCAAAAGGAUUUUAAUCUUCAUUAAAGGAGGUGGCUUGAGUUACUAAAGUAUUAUGACAUGAGUGUCCUCUAUCACCCCGGCAAGGAAAAUGUGGUAGUAGAUGUUCUUAAUCAGUUAUCAAUGGGUAGUGUUGCUCAUAUUGAGGAUGAUAAAAAUGAGUUAGUUUGAUAUGUUCAUAGAUUGGCCCGAUUGGGUGUUCGGUUGGUUGACUCCACCAAAGGCGGUGUUAUGGUUCAUAAUUGUCUUUUGUGUUAGAUCUGAAAGCCAAGCAAGGUCUUGAUUCGACUUUUGUUGAAUUGAAGGAGGCAGUGCUUAAGAAGCUUGUUGAGGCUUUCUCCCAAGAGGGAGAUGGUGUUCUUCGGUAUGAGGGUUGUUUGUAUGUUCCCAAUGUUGAUGAUUUAAGGGAGAAUAUUUUAUCGGAAGCCCAUAGUUAUUGAUAUUCCAUUCACCAAGGAGCUACCAAGAUGUAUUGUGACUUGCGGGAGGUCUAUUAGUGGAGUGGGAUGAAGAGGGAUGUUGUGGAAUUUGUGGCUAAGUGUCCUAAUUAUCAACAAGUGAAAUUUGAACAUCAAAUGCUGGGAGGUUUGUCCCAAUAUAUUAGUAUUCCUACUUGGAAGUGGGAAGAUUUGAAUAUGGACUUUAUUGUUGGUUUACCCCGCACCCGGCGACAACAUGACUCGAUUUGGGUUAUUGUGUAUUGUAUGAUGAAAUCGGCUCAUUUCAUUCCCAUCAAGGUUUCUUAUUCAACGGAGGUCUAUGCGAAGUUAUACUUGAGGGAAAUGGUUAGGUUGCAUGGAGUGCCCCUAUUCAUUACCUCCGAUUGUGGUACCUAAUUAACUUCUCAAUUUUAUAAGUCUUUCCAAAAGAGUCUUGGUACUUGUGUUAAGCUUAGUACAACCUUUCAUCCUCAAACUGAUGGGCAAGCAGAGAAUAUUAUCCAAACUUUGGAAGAUAUGUUGAGAGCGUGUGCGAUUGACUUCAAGGGAAAUUGGGAUGAUCAUUUACCCUUGAUUGAAUUUGCAUACAAUAAUAGCUAUCAUUCAAACAUUGGUAUGACUCCAUUUGAGGCUCUUUAUGGUAGGAAGUGUAGAUCUCCUAUAUGUUGGUUUGAAGUGUGUGACAUUUCUUUUAUAUGUCAUGAAUUAAUACAUGAGGCUAUGAAGAAAGUUUGUCUUAUUAGAAAGAGUUUGAAAACGGCUCAAAGUCGACAAAAGUCCUAUGCCGAUAGUAGAAGGAGAGACCUUGAGUUUGAUGUACAUGAUUGGGUCUACUUUAAUAUUUCACCCAUGAAGGGUUUAAUGAAGUUUGGAAAGGAAGAGAAGCUUAGUCUCCACUAUGUGGGCCCAUAUCAUAUUUUGAGGCGUAUUACGUAUUGGUCUUUACUUACAUACUUGAUUCGCCUAAUGACUUAGCAUCGGUACAUCCAGUUUACCAAGUCUCCUUGUUGAAGAUAUGUGUUGGUGAUCCAACAUAUAUUGUACCAUUGGAGAGUCUUGGUAUAAAAGAGGGUCUUUCUUAUGAAGAGGUUUUAGUUGAGAUUUUGGACCGGCAAGUUAAGAAGUUAAGAAAAAAGAAAGUUGCAUCCGUGAAAGUCUUAUGGAGGAAUCAAAGAGUUGAGGGUGCUACUUGGAGGCCCAAACUGAUAUGAUGUCCCGUUAUCCCCAUCUCUUUCCCUCUAAUCCUACUCUAGCUAGAGGUAUUUAGUUCAUCAUGGUCCAUCCUCAUGUCUUAGUCAUUCUCAUGUUUCCUCAUGCAAGCAUGCUCGUGAAAACUUGUUUUUGAAAUCCUUAUGUAGCUUUGAUUGAUUUCUUCAUGAUUAUGUGUAUUUGAGUAUGACUUGAAGCGAUACCUUAUGAAAUGAUGUUUUGAAUAUGUUUAAACUAGGAGUUGAUGUUUCUCCUUGAUUAUGUGUUGUUGAUGAAGGUAAAUUCUUGUCAGUCUGUUAGAUUUACUCCCCUACUAUCCUUGUGUUGCCUUGAGUUCCAUUCGAGGACGAAUGUUCCCAAAGGGGAGAUAUUGAAACACCUCGGAUUUGGAAAAGGAAAAUAAAAAUAUUUGGGCUGAAGUUUGUGUCUACGGGUCCUCAUCUAUGGAUUGUAAAAUCUUCUACGGGUCGUACAAGGCAAUUGUAAGAAUGGGAAAAUAAAAUUCUAAAAACCAAGUCCCAAUACCCUUUUUACAGUUUACCAGGAUGAUCCUUUAACCAUUGUACGAGUCGUAGAUAGGUCUCGUAGAUCACUUCUAGCCUUAUUAAAAUAUUAAGGGGUAAAGUUGGGUUCUACAGAUGGCAUGUAUGGACCGUAAGAAGAUCUACGAGUCGUACAUGGGUUCCAUCAAAAGGUUGUCCAAAUAAUGGUUUCUGAACUUAUCUAUGGUCGACCAGUAUGGACCGUAGAAAGACCUACGGACUAUAGGUCCAAACUGUAGGUGAGGCCCGACAGUUAUUCUUAAAGGGCCUUUAGGUUGUUUCCUAAUUUUUUAACCUAAAACUAUGUCGUUUUGCCUUCUACCCUAAGCCCUAUAUAAACAUUUUAAGCCCCCAAUUUACCCAUUUCAACUCAUUCACCAAAAUUACCUAAACAUGACCAAAUUCAUCCUCCCAAUUCUCUCAAGUCUAAGGAAGAAGAAGAUCUAGGGUUCCAUUCAAGUCUCCAAAUUCUCCAUUUUCUUGAAGUUAAAGGAUCAAGGUAUGUUUGUAUUAACCCAUGGAGUCUUUUCCUCCAUGUGGUCCCAAGGAUUUCAAUUUCCCAAUUUUAUUUUUAAUUGAUCAAAUUAGGGUUUCAAUUCAAUGAAUGUGGGUUUCAUCUAAUUAUGAUUGAUUUUGGUUAAUUAGGUAUUCUCAUGCAUGAAUUGAUGUUAAUCCAUGAUAUUUAAUUGAAAUUCCAUUGACCCAUGCCUAAAUUAUGUUUUUCAACUAUGAUCUUAUGAUGAACCCAUGAACUGUGAAUUAUGAGUUUAUGAAGAUAUGCAUGUUUUAUGAUGUUAUAGUGAAUGAAUUGAUGAUGCUUUGAAAUGAAAGUAUUGAUGCUAUGGUGAAAGGAUUUAUCACUUACUAUGAUUAUCAUGAUUGUGAAGAUUUCUCACGAAUAAAUUCACAAUGGUGAAAGGUUCUCUCAUCUAUGUUGAAUUAUGUUUAAGGAGCUAUUCUAUGUUUUGAUCUUAAAACUUGUGGAGUGGUAUUGAUCAUAGUUUUUCCCUAUGUUAAAAGGAUAUUUUACUUUUAUCUAUUCCGUUGGGAUUUAGACUUAGUACUGAGAGGGCUUUGAGGUGGAGGCUCAAAUAGGGUAGUCUCUAGUAGCAACCUCUAGUCCCAAAAUAUGUUCCCCGUAGGAUGUCUUAAAUGACCUAGCUAGUGGAUCCACAUUAAAAAAUGAUGAUAUUAUUGAUUCUACCUUGGUAAGUAGUUUUUCCUUCUUUUCGUAUGAGGGAUAUACCAUAUUACAUGAUAUAGCUCUCAUGGUAUUAUUGUCGGUUAAAGCUAAGAUCCCACAAAAUGACUAUUUUUCUUCGGAACUUUUCUUAUGUCCUUUAUUUUAAUGUAUAUGACUAUGUUUUAUGAUCUUCACAUUAUUUCUUCUCUAUAAGGUUUUAAAUGUUUCAUUAUGAUCAUGCAUAAUCAUUUUAAGUCAUUCAUGCAAUCAUGCCUAUAUUUCUGCACAUUGUCUCAUACAUAGUACAUUCCAUGUACUAAUGCAUAUUUGUGCCUACAUUAUUUCAUUAAUGUUGGAUCCGACGCUCCUACCUCUCAUACUCGUGGCUAGUGAUCCUUCAUAGACUUUGAAGAUUGGUGAGUCCUCAUGUUCUGAGGACCAAGACUCCUUAAUUGCUUUAUGUCAUUUUCUUUCCAACUUUUUAUGUGAUUUAUGGGUUACAUCCCGAUCACUUUCAUUACGAUGUAUUAUACGUAUUUGAGACUUAUGUCAAAAUUCUACUUUUGCCAAACUCUCUUGAUGUAUAAAUUCUAUCUUUUAUAGCUUUUACUUCUAUUAUCUUGUAUGAUGUAUGAUAAGUAACUUGUGUAGGCCUCUUGAGAUUCUAUACGCCAUGUUACGCCUAGGGUAUACUUUGGGUCGUGACAACAAGUGUCAUCACAUCCAUUUUUGGGUCAUGACAGGUGCACUUUGUAGUUAUAGAUUAUCUAUAUAGCCUUUGCUAGUGGGAAGGUAGAACUAACAUACCGUUAUCAAUAUCCCUCGAGUAGUAAUAUACCAAUAUAAAUAUUUGACUCCUUUAUGAGGAGUUCACUGUUAUUGGUUACUUCUUAAAGAAGAAGGCCACAUUGAUUACAUGAUUCAUCCAUGGAAACCUUCCAAAUAUAAAAUUUGAUAUGAAAGUGUUUUUUUGAGUUUAUUUGUAAAAAUAUUCACACUGAUUUUUCUUAUGAGACAAAUAAUAUUGUGUUAUCAUUUUUGAAAGGGCAUUGAUUUCAUCAUUUUGAUUAUCGUACUAGUAUGUUUUUUUAUUUGUCCCUCGUUAAAAUGUUUGUGGUUAAGUUUAUUAUUGACUGAGCUAGUGUCUAAUUCCUCGCUAAAUGAUUUACGGAGAACUCAGGUGACAUUGGAGAAGAUUUCGUUAGUUAGAAAGUGUCACGAUCCAAAGUACACCCUGAACGUGACAUGGCGUACAAAACCCCGAAAGGCCCCAUACAAGCCACUUAGCAUACAUCAUACAAGAUUAUAAAGUUUGAAAGAUUUAAAACACAAUUUCAACAUAAAAAAGUUUUAUAGAGAAAAGUGGAAGUCUAAACAUCAUCUCAAAGACAUCUAGUACAUAAGAAUGAUCAGGGUGUAGCCCUUACAUCCAGUUCCAAAACUCAAAGUAAAGACAAAAGGGAAACCAAAGCUCGGUCCUCAAAAUAUGAGGACUCGCCAAUCUUCAAUCUUCUAUAUGAGAUACCUAGCCACGAAAGUGCGUAUUUGUAAGGCCGGUCUCUACAUUUGGGGAAAUGUAGGCAAGAGUAUGCAUUAAUACAAAAAUGCACUAAGUAUGAUAUCCAUGCAUAAAAGUAUGAAAAUGCUAAAAAGGACAUUUUUCGUGAUAUGCAAAUACCAAGUCAAAACAUAAGAUAAGAGGGUUAGAAAACAUAAUCAUUAUCAUGAUAAAUGCAAGUAAAAUCAUCUUUGAACACAUGUGAGAUACUUUAAAGGUAACCUUGAUUCAUUAUUGUGGGAAGUAGCCUUAACCGACAAAGAGACCAUGUGAGUUAUAACAUGGAACUCUGGUGUCUCCCACACCGAAAAAGGUUGUCCUACUUGUUGGGUAGAACCAUGAAUCUGAGCUAAAAUGGAUCCACUAUCUAAUGUAUAUCUAGACAAUCAUCCUAUGGAGGCACAUAGGUAAGGGAUAAGGAGAUUGCUACUAGAAACCCAACCUUAACUCGGGAGAGCUUCCAUCUCAAUAUUCUCUCGGUGCUAAGCAUAAAUCCCACAGAGUAAGUUAUUAAUCUUAACUUGUCUUAUGUUUAAAAUAUAUGGGUAGUAGCCACUUGUCUUAUCAUAGGACAUAUCCUUAGACCAUGAAUGAGAAUUUCGUUCACUGUCCAUGAUCUUUUAAUAAUAGCUUUUCAGGCCCAUAGUCAUUCACUUCAUGCUAGAGAUGCCCCUAAUACUAAUGGAAACAGUUUUGAAAUCGCGGUCUCUAAUAAUUGAUGGCAUAUCCGGACACCAUACUAAUCAAGACCUAAUUUAGGAAAGUAGCUCGAAAAGCAUUGAGGAAAAAUCUUGAUGUUAUUCAUGUCAUGUGGUCAAGCAUCAUAGAACAUAUAGACAGAAGCUUUCUUGAGUCAUAAACAUACUUUAAUGAACAUGCAUUCUUUUCAAUAAUUCAUAAGCUUUAUCAUAUUUUCAGAGUCAAAGCAUCUUCAAAUUCAUUUACAUCCAUUUCAUAAAGAGAAGACUUGCAUAUUUUCAUAAAUUCAUCUUUCAUAGUUUAAGACCCACAUUAUAUCAUCAUGGCUUAGAAAACAUGUAUUAUGCAUGGGUUAAUGGGAAUUCAUCUUAAAAAACAUGCAACUACUUCAUUUCAUGCAUCAAAGGUAAUAAAACAAUCAAUUGAACUAACAUUGUAAAGAACCCAUGACAAUUGAAGAAAACCCUAACUUGAUUGGAAAACCUAACUUUACAAAAUUAGAGAAUUUGGGAACUUCAUAGAGGAAAGGGCUCCAUGGAUGAAAACCAUCAUACUUCAAUGCCAAAAGCUUGACUUAAAUUGUGGAAUUGGGAGGCUUGAUCUUCAAACCCUAGAUUUCUUGUUCAACUUCUUGAGAGAGAAAUAUUUGAGAUGAGGAGUUUGAUAUUCUUUUGAGAAUUUGAGAGAAUGAAUUGAGUUUGGGUGAUUUGGGGGCUUAAAAUCAUUAUAUAAGACUUUGGGUUAAGGGUAAAAAUGACAUACUAUUAGGCUAGAAUAAUUAGGAAAAGACCCUAAGAAAAAUAACUCUCGACUCUACCAAUGGCCAGACUUAAGGUUCGUAGGUCCAACCACGGACCGUACUGGUCGACCGUUAGUGGAUUCAGAAACCACUAAAUGUGGACCCCAAACGAUGGACCAGACCUACGCUUUGUGGGUCCAUCGACGGACUGUGGACCACGAUCGUAGGUCCCAACUUUUACCUCAAAAUGCUUCUAAGUCUGGGACUCACCUACGAACCCUACCUACGGCUCGUACAUAGAACGACAGAUCAUCCCGGUGAACCAUCGACAAGUACUGAAACUUAUAAUUUUUGAUAACUUGGGCUAGCCAACCAUAGAGCUAAUCUACGGUCCGUGUAUCAGUCCACGGGCCGUAGGUGGCUCCAUCGGAACUGGCACCAUAUUUUCUGAAGGACUGAAAUUUCUCUAUUUCUGAAUCCAAGGUAUAACAAUAUCACCCCCUUGGGAACUUUCGUCCUCGAAUGAGAUUCAAGACGUCAUAAGAAAGGUCGAAACUUAAUCUAACAGCCCAUCAUGCAUGCAAUUUCAUAAAUGCACAUAUCCGAGGAGGAAAUAUCGACUCCAAGCUAAAGCAUAGUUUUAAAACAUCUUUUCAUAAUACAAACAUGCAAAAUCAUACUCAAUGCACAUAAUCAUGAGACAAUCAAUCAAGAUAAAUCAUAUCUUUGAAAAAAUCAAAUUUUUCAUGACCAUGCAUGCAUUAGGAAACAUGAGGAUGACUAAGACACAAGAAUCCUUAAAAGUGAACCAUGAGGGGCUAAGGCCUCAAGCUAGACUUGAAGAUAAAGGAAAGAGAUAAGGUUACUAAGAAGUCACAUCGCCUCCAAAAUUUCAUCCACCAAACCAUAACAAGGAACUCUUCCAAAACCAACAUAGUUCUACUCACGUACCAACCAUGAACCACACUAUCUCCUCCCCCGAGAGAGAACCGCACUAGUCUUUUCAAAUCAUCUCCCUCAAUCCCAAACAUAACACCAAAGUCUUAACAACCACUCAACCAUUGACACAAUAAACCAUUAAGAAGUUUCCACAAGGAUUUCAAGGACUACUUCAAACACAAUCACCAUACAUGGAGUCUUACCAUAUCUAACGAAGCACUCAAUAUCGAGCAAUACAUAACCACAAGUUAUAAGACCUUAACUUACCAAUUAACGCAUCUGGGGAACCCUCAUGAUCUUGUUGGGUCUGAAGAGCAUAGAACAUAUCUUGUUUCUCAUCAUCACUAGAACCUAAGGAAGGGUGGGGUUGAGACCGUCGACGAUUAUCUCCUUCAUUCCUAGCAGCCACAGGAUAAUUCCUUAUUUUAUAAUCCAUCUUUCCACAACCAAAACAUGCGUUUGAAUCAGAUAGACACUCACCCUUAUGUCUUCCCCCACACUUCCAACACUCGGGUGACUCAUAAACAUACUUUCAUGAACAUGCAUUCUUUUCAAUAAUUCAUAAGUUUCAUCAUAUUUUCAAAGUCAACGCAUCUUCAAAUUCAUUUACAUCUAUUUCAUAAAGAGAAGACAUGCAUAUUUUCAUAAAUUCAUCUUUCAUAGUUUAAGUCCCACAUUAUAUCAUCAUGGCUUAGAAAACAUGGAUUAUGCAUAGGUUCAUUGGGAUUCAUCUUAAAAAACAUGCAAAUACUUCAAUCCAUGCAUAAAAGGUCAUAAAACAAUCAAUUGAACCAACAUUGGAAAGAACCCAUGACAAUCGAAGAAAACCCUAACUUGAUUGGGGAAUCUAACUUUACAAAAUUGGAGAAUUUGGGAACUCCAUAGAUGAAAACUAUCACACCUCAAUGCCAAAAGCUUGACUUAAAUGGUAGAAUCCGGAGGCUUGAUCUUGAAACUCUAGCUUUCUUCUUCAACUUCUAGAGAGAGAAAUAUUUUAGAUAAGGAGCUUGAUUUUCUUUUGGGAAUUUGAGAGAAUGAAUUGAGUUUGGGUGAUUUGGGAGUUAAAAUCAUUAUAUAAGGUUUUAGGUGAAGGGUAAAACAACAUACUAUAAGGCUAGAAUAAUUAGGAAAAGACCCAAAAGCCCCUAAUAAAAAUAACUGUCGAUUUUACCAAUGUCAGACUUAUGGUUCGUAGGUCCAACCACGGACCGUACUGGUCAACCAUUGGUGGAUUUAGAAACCACUAAAUGUGGACUCCCAAACGAAGAACCAGACCUACGGUCUGUGAGUCCAUUGAUGGACCGUGGACCACAGUCGUAGGUCCCAACUUUUACCUCAAAAGUCUUCUAAGUUUGGGACUCACCUAUGAACCCUACCUAGGGCUCGUACAUUGAAUAACGGAUUAUCCUGGUGAACCGUCGACAAGUAGUUAAACUUAUCAUUUUUGGGAACCUGGGCUAGCCAACCACAGAGCUGACAUAUGGUUCAUGUGUCAGUCCACGGGUCGUAGGUGGCUCCGUCGGAACUGGCACCAGAUUUUCUGAAGGACUGAAAUUUUUCUCUUUCUAAAUCUGAGGAGUUAUAGAGAAUUUGGAUUGAUAGUAUCUGGUGAGCCUGGCAUUGCUUCGCAUGGCAAGAGACUUAUUGAAUUACUAUGGGCUCUUUUCUUUAAAAACUCAUAGAGUCGCUCCAUUUGUCCAUUCUUUAUUUCGAGUAAUGAUUAUAUCCUUCGUUUUGUAGUCAUAUGACUUGGUUUAAACUUUCUUUUUGUGUUUAGAGAUGAAUUGAUAUUACUGCGUGACGAUUGAAUAUUGAUGGAUAUUAUGUCUUGAUUUAUAGUUGUUAUUACUUGUGUGUUGGAUUUCUGAGAUAGAGAAAAUUUAGGAUAGGCCCAAAAACAAAGAAAACUACGUCAAUUUUCUGUAGAAUUCUAGUAAGGCUUGUUUUGGGAUUCUCCCCCUUAGUGCCAGUCAUGUUCCUAAAUUGGGUCGUGACACGUAUACAUCUUACCGAGCUUUAGCUUCCACUCAAAGACCCAUGGAUGAAUCGCAGUUCAUAUACCAAUCUCAAAAUCUCAUUAUCUCAUCAACUUGCCACCUAGCUCGUGGUCAUGGAUAAAUGUAAGGUGUCACAUUUUAUUUCUCAAAAAUAGUAUUUAUCCACUUUCUCAUAUUCCCGUGAACAAUGAUAUGUUGAGUGAGGAUGAAUGAAUCACAACACAUAUCAUACAAAGACAUAAUCAAUUAAUCAAGGAUUUGAAUAAAACAAAGUUCCCAAACUUGAUAAGUCAUGAAACAUGUCCUCAUAUGAUAGGUAUAGUAGAAGAAUCCAUUUGAAAUCGGCAUUUUUCACUUAUAAGGCAUUUCUUUCAUUUUAAGAUAAUCACAUAAGCCCCUAACUCGGGCAUCUCAAUGUCAAAUAUAAAAAUAGGCCAUGCAAUCCCUAACUCGGGCAAAUUCUCAAAUAUCACAGGUUUUAAACAACAACAAUUAAGGGUAUCAGACCAGGCCUCCACAUCGGCUAAGCAUCACACACGAACUAAACAAGAAAGUCAACAUGUACCUACCUCUAAAUUUCAUAUGACAACUCAUUUCACAGUUGACUUCUUAAGAAAGAUUAAUUGUUCAUCUCAGUCUAAAAGAGGAUAGUCACACCUAACUCGAAGGCCAAAACUUCACCCGAACAACUCUAUCAGAGCACUCCCUCAACCAAACGAUCAUCGAAACGAUCCCCAACUAUCGAUAAUGAAAAGGGUUCAUCAAAAGGAGUCCAAUGAUACCCAUAAUGACAAGAUUAGGACUCAAGGGUAAAACAAUCCAAAAAUCACUUCAGAUAUUGAAAGUGUGAAAUCAUAUUUUUAUUCGAAAAAUGAUUUUUACCAUAAAAUAAGAACUCGUGGUUGAAAGACCUAUUAAAACAAUAAAGGAAUAAGCUUUGAAUCAAGAAUUACUAAUUUAUCCAACUUACGGGAAAAACCCCAAAACCCACAUUGAAAUCAUGAUUAAAAGAUGUUUUUGGAAGUUAAAAAUUUGAAGAAAUCGAUAAGGAAUUGAUAGAGGAAGCUUACCCACACGAGUUUAAUCAACCAAAGCUCUCAAGAUCGCCUCUCCUAAGCUCUAAAAGAUUGAAAAUGGAGGAAAUAAGAAAAAUGGGAAGAAUCCUGAAUUUGGGUUCUAUCUAGGUGAAAAAUGGUCAUCACGAUCGCGAGCCACUAAAUCUCGUGAUCGUGAAAUCACGAAAUCUACACAUCGCGAUCGCGAGACCCUUGUCAACGAUUGUGAAGGCUAAGGGAUGGGGACCAAUGCAAACACGAGCUUAUGGGUUGCGGUCGCGAAGACCACAAAGAAGACACAUCAAGUUCGCGAGCCUAUGGGCCACGAUUGCAAAGGUCAAAGUGACCUGCACCAGAAACCAGCAAACCAGCAGUUCAAACUCAAGAAAAGUCCCUGAAUGGACCCUCGGGAAUCAUUCAGGGUCCGAUAAAAAAUGAACUAGACAUGCAAUCCAACUAAAUUUGAUAUUUCAAACUCAACAAAAUCAUCUAAUUUAAAAAAAAAGUCAAUGAUAGAAUUAUCUUCCCGGACCACUUUUUAGCCUUAGAACUCAACUUCUCGUUCAAACGCCCAAAACUCAAUGGAAGGCCUCAAAAACCUAACCAACCAUCUUACCAGCACAAACUCAACGUACCAAAUGCAAUGGAACUCAAAAUAUUGACCUAAGUCAACCAUACCAGUAAUACUCAACUCUAAAGAGUCAAAAUCAUCAAAAAUACACCCGAUCGCAUCGGGGACCACACCAGUCAUUUUGUAACACAAACUAAGCAUGAAAACGUUAAAGGAAAGGGCAAAAUGAUCAUUUCACUAUUUAAAGCGAUUUCACAAGAAAUGGGACAUUAUAAUAAAUAUACUUUGUAAUAAAAUGAUUAAUUGAAAGAUUAAAAGUAUUUGAAUUUAAAAAAUUUAGAUUUUCAAUUUAAAAAAGAUUUUUGGUUAGCUUAAAAAUAGAAAAUCAUGGUUGAAGAGUUCUAAAUGAACUCAAACUGUUGUAUAUACUUAUCCCUUCAGAUGUUAUAAAAUAUAUUUAAAUAUAUUAAUUUAUUAUUAAAAUAAAUUAAUAUAUUGCUGUAAUAAUUUAUAUAGAAUCUAUUAAUAGCAUUCAAGGUUAAAGAUGACUCCUAGAGAGUUAGUAGUAGUACUACUACUAUUUCUCCUAAUUCAAAUAUACAUCUUAUAAUAAAAAUAUGUAUUCUAUUUUUUUUAAAUCAAGUUUAUGAAAGAAUAAUAUAAAGAUAUUCUUUUAAAAAAUUGAUACAAUGUUUGAAUUCGAAUUUAAAUGGAAUUUGAGUCAGAAGAAUAGAGUUUUAACUACUUAACCUCUCUUAUAUAAACUCCUACAAUGAUACAUAUUUUUAAGCUAAAUUCUCUACAUUUUUUAUUGAUCAUUAGCUUUAUUGAUGAAUUUAUUUAGUGCAUUCUUCACUUCCCAAUAACUCCUUUUGAUUUGAUAUAUGCACUUAUUAUAUGCAAAUGAAUGAUGGUUGUAUUACAAUCUAAUUUUUUGCUACUACAUAAAGACUUGAAUUGAAGUAAGUAGUAAUAUUUUUCGUUCUAAUUUUUUUCUUUAAUUUUACAUAAAAGUAAAUAGAUUUGAUUACGUAAAUAAAAAAAUAUCUUUUAUUGAGAAUUUUAGUCAAGCAUUUUUGCUUUAAAAAUGCGCACUUUUGUUAGCAUUUUAUUAUUAUUAUUUUAUUAAAAUAAGUUUUCAUAAUAUUUUAUGUAUUAUUUUUGUGAUGAUCUAUUUAUUUAAUCUGGUAUUGCAUGAAUUUUGGAUGAAGAUAAGGAGAUUGAGCAACUGGUAACCCAAUAGCUUUUGUUUUGAUGGAAAAUUUUCUUAUUUAAGGUGUUCUCUUCUUAGUCAUUUACAUAAUUGAUUUUCUUGCUAUUACAUAGAGACUUGAAUUAAAGUAAGUAAAUUUUUCAUUCUUAUUUUAUUUAUUUGUUUGCUUGAUAAAGAUAAAUGCAUUCGAUUACGUAAAAUAAAUUUAAAAAAAUAUCAGAUUUUAUUGAAAUUUUUAUCUAGCAUUUUAGCUCUCUAAAUGCUUACCUUUGUUAGUAUUUUUUUAUAUUAUUAUUUUAUUAAAAUAUUGAUAACACUCAAAUGUCUUCCUUAAAACCAAUUAAAAGGGACAACGGUCGUAGUCAGUAAAAAUCCAAUGAAGAGUUGGGGUCAAAUUUCACAGGAAAUGUAUAUCAUAGAGAAUUUCUAUCAAGAAAUUUGAAUUGUAAAAUUUCUCAUUUGUAAUAGUAAGAACAAGUGGAUGGAUGAUUCCACCAGUUUAAUAAAAAUCUUUGGUUAUCAAUUGUCACAAUUAAACUAGAAUUUUAGAGAAUUUAAGACAAGCAAUCUAGGGGUGCGGGGAUUGGAAAUCGAUGUCACAUAGGGGUAAUUGUGAUUCUCUAUAGUGAUGCACAUUCAUGAAUAGGCUAGGUCAUCUUCAAUGACGCUAAUCAUCUUUCGAUCUCAAAGAAUCUAUGCAUAGAAUCUCCUUUCAGUCUCAUCUAAAUGCCAAACUAAACAACCUAAUACCUUACUCUAUUCUCUCUUUCGAUGCAAAAAUAGGGCAAAUAGAUCUGACCCAUAACAUCUAUUUUAAAGCAAGUUAUUAACAUCAAACCUAAAUUGCUAGCAUUGGACUAAUUAUCCACUCCAAUCAAUCUCUUUCGAGCAUCGAUUGGAGAUCGAAAGUAGGAAUUAAGUUUGCAACCUUAACCCAUAAAUUAACUCCAUGCUAAUUAGCUCAAAUUCAUGCAUAAACAGCAGCAAAACAGAGCAUAACACAAUAUCCACUACAUUAAAUCAACACCCAACCUCAUAAUUUCAUCCCCUAGAUCUUGGGGUUUUAGUCACCCAUCACAAAAAGCAAAGAAAAUAUACCUUCCAUGAAAACAGUCAUGGAUCACACGAAAUUAAGCAAUUACAAGUAAACCCACUUUGGAUUCAACUUCGAUUUAUCAAAUUCAAGAGAAAAGUUGUAAAACUCUAAAAGCUAGAAAGUGUAAGGUCAAGUGUUCUCUCUCAAAACUCAAAAUAUAUCUCACUCUUUCUAAAUUUCAGAACUCCUUGAUUUCUCUCUCCUUUGAGCUAAGACUCGAACAACCUUCAUUGUGAGUAGGAUUUUAUCGAGGAAUUUAAAAAAAUUCUUAAGUAUUAAGGUCACUAGAUAUAUCACUAUAACAUACCGCCUUAGGAAGAACUAGAAUUAGAAAGAAACUAUCUUUGGAAAGAGUAAAUUUGGAAAUUUUGGCAAGUUGUGCUAAGUAUGAGUUUUGGGUCAACUUCAAAUGACCAUAACUUUUAGUAAAUGAUGAAUUAGGUGGACCAUAAGAUAUCAAAUCAAAGGUCUUUAAUUUGAAUUAUCUUUCCAAAGCCACUGAGUUUGCUAAGUUUUGAGUUCGGAUGCGUGAGAUAUACCCUUUUUUAAGUCAGACUGUCCAAUUAAGGAAAGUUACCCGAAAAUAGUGAGGAGUAUUUUGGACUUUCCUUACCCAAUCAGAUUUAAUUCAUUUUGAGUAAGGUUUUAGGGGUCUAAACUGAUUAGGUUCAGUUUUAUAAUCCUAAUAUACGCCUAGGAUUUUAGUUGAGAGUUCAAGAAGAGAAAAGAAGAGAAAAGAGGAGAAAAGCGGAAAGGAUCAAGGCGUUUGUCGAGGUUCUUGAGUUUUGUUGCGGAUUUUCGCCAUGGUACGUAAGCUUCCAUAGUGUUGAGUUCGUUCACCCACAUGCCACUCAUGAGUUUCUUUUGCGAAUCUAUCCAUAAAUAUUGAGCAAUUUAAUUUUUUGAUAAGUGUUCUUGAAGUUUCCUUAUCAAUUAAGUUUUAAUGUAAGAUUCUACUUUGGUCAGCUUCAAACAACCAUAUCUCUUAGAAUAUAAAGAGUUGCGUGGCCCGUAACCUAUCAAAUUAAAGGUAUUUGAAUCUACUUUCCAACUCCACAAAUUUCGCGUCAAUCCAAUUUUUGAGUAAAAAUUUAUGACUAUUUUAGUAACCUGAUACAGUACUGUUACGAAUUAGACGACGGGAAACUAUUAAAAAGCGUCAUUUUUGUCUUUUUACCUUCAAGAAAACCCUAAACAAAUUUCUUGACUAAUAAAAGGCUCAAAACAAUUAGAUUUUCAUCUUUUAAUCCAUCAUUCUCUUUUCGCUCAAACCCUAGGGCAAAACCCUAAGGAAUAAUCAAAGUAGAAGACUAUUCAAGAUUCUUUCAAUUUUUUUCAAGAUUCUUCUUCAAUGUAAGUCUUUCUCCAAGAAAAUCAUAAUUGAAAUAUUAGCAGAAAUAGAGAUUUUAGGUAAGUUCAGAUUCUUAUUGCCACUACUUAGCAUACACUGGUUAAAGGGUUAAAUGGUUCAUUUUUCUUAACUUCCGAUGAGUUAGGUUCUUUACGCAAAGAAGCCAUGCGAAAAGCGCACACGAAGUAAUUCUUGGCCAUAGAGAUUUCAAGAAACUAAUUCAAGAAUCUCAAGAAAGGUUUUCUUGAUCGUUUACCUUCAAGCUAGGAUUUCAAGGUUCCUAAUCAAGUUCUUCUUCAAUAUUCUUCAAGAACCUUGUUCUUCCAGGUAUGUAAGUCUAUCAUAGUGUUGGACUAGUUCGUCCUCACGCCCUACAUCUNNNNNNNNNNNNNNNNNNNNNNNNNNNNNNNNNNNNNNNNNNNNNNNNNNNNNNNNNNNNNNNNNNNNNNNNNNNNNNNNNNNNNNNNNNNNNNNNNNNNNNNNNNNNNNNNNNNNNNNNNNNNNNNNNNNNNNNNNNNNNNNNNNNNNNNNNNNNNNNNNNNNNNNNNNNNNNNNNNNNNNNNNNNNNNNNNNNNNNNNNNNNNNNNNNNNNNNNNNNNNNNNNNNNNNNNNNNNNNNNNNNNNNNNNNNNNNNNNNNNNNNNNNNNNNNNNNNNNNNNNNNNNNNNNNNNNNNNNNNNNNNNNNNNNNNNNNNNNNNNNNNNNNNNNNNNNNNNNNNNNNNNNNNNNNNNNNNNNNNNNNNNNNNNNNNNNNNNNNNNNNNNNNNNNNNNNNNNNNNNNNNNNNNNNNNNNNNNNNNNNNNNNNNNNNNNNNNNNNNNNNNNNNNNNNNNNNNNNNNNNNNNNNNNNNNNNNNNNNNNNNNNNNNNNNNNNNNNNNNNNAGUUCCUAAUCCUUUUGAGAUUAUAUUCCUACUUAUGGGACUACUACAUGUUACACAUAAAGCCCUUUAGUUGAGUUGUUCAUGCCCAUAAUUCCGCAUGAACCGUAUGAGUCAAACAUUCUUGAGAUGAAGUAGUACCAUGAACUCCUUGAGUUGAGAUUGUUCAUGCCCAUAAUUCCACAUGAACCCUCUGAGUUGAGUAUUCUUGAAACGAAUAUUACCAUUGAAGUUCUAGAGUUCUGAGCUGUUGAGUCUCGAGUAUUGAGUUUUAUGUAUGGUUGUUGAAAAAAAUNNNNNNNNNNNNNNNNNNNNNNNNNNNNNNNNNNNNNNNNNNNNNNNNNNNNNNNNNNNNNNNNNNNNNNNNNNNNNNNNNNNNNNNNNNNNNNNNNNNNNNNNNNNNNNNNNNNNNNNNNNNNNNNNNNNNNNNNNNNNNNNNNNNGACAAUCGAGUAUGCCAUCAAUGUAUGAGCAGUAUGGUAUCUAGAUAUACCAUCAAUGUUUAUGCAAUAUAACUUCCCGAGUCAUAAAUAAUCAUAUUAUAAUAUGAUUUUGAAAUGUUUUGAGAAAGAGCAGAGUUGAGUUCAUUUUCUUUAAAAUGAUAUAUGGGAACUAAGUAUUCCCAAGAGUAAAUGUUUUCACAUUUAAGAUGAGAGGAAACUAAGAUUUCCAAAGGAGUUUUGAGCAGUUUGAGUACCAUCUCUUUUAAGGGAAAGAUUUUUGAGUAAUAAUCUCAAACCACAGAAAAAGUUAUGUUUUUAAACAUAUGAGCUAGUAUAUUUUAGAAGUAGUAUUGAGCACUGAUUUGGGGGAGAGUUCAAAUAACUCACAGCCCCCAUAAACCAUGUAGUCAAUAUGGGUAGAAAGGGUCAUAUUUUUUAGAUGAUUCAUUAAUGCUUUUUAGCAUAGACUAGUAGAUCCACACUUAGUGAGUAGGUCUUAUACCCUGGCAAUGUAUAGGACAAUUCUGGCAGCGUGGGCGAGACAUUGUAUCAUCAGAUAGCUCAUAGUGAUGGUUGUCGGUUAGAGAAACUUCCACAUAGAGAUAUUUUGUAUUCUUAUAUACACAGAGUUUAUUUUAUAUUUUAAUAUACAAAUAGAGUUUAUUUUGUAUUCUUACAUACAAACAGAGUUACAUUGUAUUUUCUAAUACAUUGAGUUGCUAUCUACUGUUUUCAAAGCUUUUGAUAUAUUGCAUCUUUUAUUGUUGCUUUAUAUUGAGUUGAGUAUCCAGAGUUGAGUACCCAGAGUCGAGUAUCUUAUUAUUGAGUUGAACCUUAUUUUACUGAUUUGAAUAUCUUAUCAUUGAGUUGAUCCCUAUUUUCUCUGACUUGAAUUGAGUUAAACUAUGUUUCUUUGAGUUGAGUGAGUUGAGAAGACGUAAGUAUGUUUCUAUUCCACCAGUUCAAGCUUAUGUUUAUGCUUUAGAAUUCCCCUUACAUGCUCGUACAUUCCAUGUAUACUGAGUCAUUUGGCCUGCAUCAUUUCAUGAUGCAAAUACAGGUAUUCAUGAUCAUCAACAAGCAUUUUGUUGGGAUCAUAGGUUAUUCCAGUCAGCUUUGGUGAGCCUUCUUACAUUCCGAAGGACUUCACCUUUAUCUUAAAGCUAGUAGUUUGAGAUGUCGUGGGUCUUGUCCCAAUAUUCUUCUGUAAAAGUAGAGGCUUCAUAGAUAGAUAGUACAGUUUGAGAAGUCUGUUUCAUUUAUUUUGUUAAAUGUUUUAAGGACUUGAGUUGCCUAUUUCUGGAAAGUUGAAUAUACUAUUUUAUCCAGAGUUAAUCAUUUCAGUUUGUUUUAGCUUUGUAUGCUUAAGUUAGUAUUUCGCUUGUAGCUAGCCAGGAUGAGGGUUCGCUUAAGGACUAGAAAUGGUUCUUGAGUGUCGGCCAUGUCCAGGGUGUAGGCUCGGGUCGUGACAUAUAUAGUUUCAUAAUAUUUGGCCUCAAAACCCAAUGUGUGUCUCAUUCAACGAUAUUAAUCGGGCUCGCCGAGCUCGUUUGGCGAAUCGUCUCUCGCUCUUCAGCUUGCCUUUACAUACUCUAGGCUUCAAGUAUUUUAACCUUAGUUGGCGAACUCAUUUUAGUCAACCUUUCACAUUUGACGAAUUGUUGAGUACCACUUUGGUUCGCCUUCUAAGCAUUCAAUUUUUCUCCUUGCACUAUCAUUUUUGACGACGUUAGGCAAGGUCGCCUUUCUCAUUCGGCAUAUCGCCUUCUUUGUUGGAGUUUGCCGACCUAUUUCAAUAGAUACAAGUGUUAUGCACUGUCAAUUUGGGCGAGGCCAUGCUCACUAGGCAAUCCUCCUUUCUCGUUUGGUGAUCAACAAUGUAUAGUUUGCACUUCUUUUUACAUUUAUGGUCAUUCUUUCAAACAUCAAUCAUUGCCUUGUCCAUUUGCCUUCAUAACUGCAAAUCAUCAACAGCUUAUCAGGAUAGGAUAAAAUUAGGCAUUGAGGACACUAAAUAUUGAGCUAAAUAGACCUCAAAUGAGUGCAAAUCUACCACUCAACAAAUAUGUGUUCAUAUUAUUUUAUGUAUUUUUGGUUGAUCUAUUUAUUUAAUUUGAUGUUGCAAGAAUAUUGGAUGGAGAUAAGAAGAUUGAGCAACCGGUAACCCAAUAUCUUUUGUUUAGAUGAAAAUUUUUCUUAUUAAAGUGUUCUCUUCAUAGUCAUUUACAUAAUUGAUUUUUUUGCUACUUUAUUGAUUAGCGAUACAUAAAACUGUAGAAAAACCUCCAUUUUUAGUGUAAAAAUUUGUAGACUUUCUCUUGAGAUGAAAAACGACUUUGUGCAUUAUUAAUUUUCAUUUGUACAACAUCACUAUAUUGCAUUCUUUUACCUAUUUUAUUUUAAGAGAAUUACCAAUUAGAUUUCCAAACAUCUGAAUUAUUCAACUUAAAUUAUUUUAUUCGUUUUAAAACAAGGUAGAUUGUCAACAGAGAUUUUUUUUAAAAAGUGACAUAAAUAAAAAGUCUAAUAUUUUAGAUUUUAGUGGUAUAAAGGAAUAAAACUAUCAAUAAAUAAAGUGAUGUGUGAUAUUUGAAUAAACGAAGGGCUCCUCACCUCUCGUUCUGUGAAAGUGCACAACGAAGUUUCAACGCGAAUAAUAAUAAUUUAUGGAGAAGAAAUGGAACCCUUGUUGUUGUAAAUAUGGAUUUCAAGGUAUUUAUUUCAUUGACAUGAUUAUAUAUGUAUUAUCAAGUUAGGUUAAAGUGGUAUUAAUAAUUUGAAUAUGAGCUUCAGUACCCAUGAAUGGGAGAUUUUAUUCUUCUAACGCCAAGUAUACUCCCUGUAUCGCUAGUUGAGUUACACUAUGAUGCUAAAAUUGAGUUGAUGUUCAAUUGUAAAGGAUAGAAAUAAGUAUAGACUUUUAGGAUGGAACCAGUUACUUCUUGAAUGAUAAGAAUUAGAAGUGAGGGAUUUAUGAAGAAAUAUUUCAACAACGUCAUGGAUAGCCAAAAAAAUUGUUUGAGCGAAAGCUAAAUGUUGAUAUUUGGAAUAAUGACUCGUUGUUGCUUAAAUGGAAGUAUUAUCAAGUUAAUGAAUAAGAUAGUUUGACGUUUUGAGAGUCAAAUCUUAACCCCGAGGGUGGGGUAUUUAAAUAGUUAUUUAUUUAGCCUAACAAAUUAACAAGAGAUCGAUAUGAUGUGAUUAUAUAUUGAUUGAAGGGAGUCAUGCAAAUUGCUUGAGGUGACGAGCAAUAACUGAUAUGAAUACUUGACUCAUUUAUGAUGAGUUCACUAUUAUUGAUUACUUCAUAAAAAAUGUCACACUGAUUACAUGAUUCAUCCUUGAAAACCUCCCAAAUAUAAGAUUUGAUAUGAACAUGUUUUUUGAGUUUAUUUCUAAAUGCACAUUGAUUUUUGCUUACAUGAGGCAAAUAAUAUUGAAUAUUGUUAUCGUUUCUGGCUUGUCCCUCAUUAAAAUGGUUGUGGUUAAGCGUUAUUACUAACCGAGCUAGCAUCUAAAUCCCCGCUAAAUAUUUUUACAGAGAACUCAGGUAGCGUUGGCGAGAAUUUCAUUAAUUAGAGAGUAUGGAUUGAUAGUAUCUGGUGAGCCUCGUGUUGCUUCGCAUGGCAAGAUAUUUAUUGGAUUGCUAUGAUUUAUUUUGUUCUUUUAAAACUCUUAGAGUUGCUCCAUUUGUCAGUCCUUUUAUUACAAUCAUGAUUAUUCCUUCAUAUUAUAGUCACGUGACUAGUUUUAAACUUCUUUUCAUAUUUGGAAAAGAAUUGAUACUAUUGUGUGGCAAUUGAAUUGUUGAUGGAUAUUGUGUCCUGACUUAGAGAUGUCAUUAGUUGUGUUGUUGAUUUCUAAGACAGAUAAAAAUUGGAUAGGCCCAAAAAUAGAGGAAACUUUGCUUGAUUUUCUGUAGAUUUAUGUUAAGGGGAUUCUUUUCCCUUGGCAUCAGUCAUAGACCUAAAUCAAGUCAUGAAAAAAUUGGUAUCAGAGCUUAGGUUAUUCUUAUGAUUUAUGGAGUAGACAUUAGUAGUAGAAUCUCAAUUAUUAUAUUGUCGGUCAUUCCUAUAAUUGUGAUUCUAUGGGGACGUGAUAGGAUAUGUCUUUCCUUUCUCUCUUAUUCCUCUGUACGUAUGUGGCGAUUAGAAUUUUAUUAGCUAAAUUUAACUUGUUUAUCAUUUUACCAUAGGAUUUAAACUCGAUUAUGUGAUAGCACGAAUAGGCCAGAGGUUCUGGGUCAUUCAAUGUCGCCUUUAACAUGUAAUCAUCUCUUCCAAUUAAUGUCAACCACAAGUAACAAUCAUGGCGAUAGAAGGGUACGUUGUUCUACUAUUAGGGAGUUGCACUCAUAAAGGGGCAUGUAAUAUAACCAUUAGUAGAAGUAGUACUGGUACAAGCAACAAAUCGUUACCGUUGACACGUUUAUCUCCAAGUAAAGAGUCAUAGAUAGCUUGAUGGACAUAUUAUAUAGAACUAGACCACAUAAUAGGACCCAAGAUAAGUUGCAGUACCUAUAUGGAUUUAGAUUGUUGAGAAUGCCUAAGGUUGAAAGCACCAAAAUUGUUAUCUAAUAGUUUCAAAGGACCAUUAAAAUAUUCUCGGGUGAAAAUACUUAAAGUCUUACAAACGGUGGGAUAUUACGCGAUGAGAUUCGUAGAGUUAGAAGUUUAGAGAUGGAUGACAUGUUCACUACGUGUUAUGAUACCGAUUAUUUAGAAGCUAACAGGAAACACUAUUUCUUUGAGGUGAUUCACUAAGUUAUUAUUUCUUUCUUCAUUUAAAGCGCGUAACAUGUUGGAGAGUUAAAAAAAUUGUUCAGAUGAAGAAUUGGACCGAUAUAUGACCCAAGAUUUUCUUGACGAGAUAGAUAUUCUCCUUACUCAUUUUUUUUAUACAAAGCAUUUCAAGUUUAGAAAUUUUUGAAAGGAUGGUUAGCCUCGCACACAAAAAAAAUUCCCUACUUUGAGGUAGUUGACAUUGCUAAACAUUUUUUGAAAAAUAUGUGAAGCCAUAAAAAGAGCAACCACGGAUUCAUGCUAGGUUGAAACUUGAAAAAAAGAAGGAAUCUCAGACUUAAGAAAUAAGUGAUGCUAUAUGAUUAUGAGGGUUAAACAUUUACUAAAGGACAUGAGGGAGGAUAUAUCUAUUCUAAUUUAGAAAUGCUAUUGGUAGUGACAUAAUUUAGUGAUGUAUUUUUGUGGAUUUGCCAAGACCUACUAGUACGAUAAAUAGAUUUUUGUAUUGACUUGGUGUGUGACGUGCAACCCUUUUGAUGCCUACCCCUAUAUCUUAUGACAUCAACGGAGUUUAGAAGAGAUAAAUAAAUAAUUGUAGUUCAUAUUAAAUAGAGAUUCAUCAAACUGAACAAUGUAACAACAUAACAAAUUCUUGUUGUCUGGAAUAGAUGUCAUAUAUGAUUGGUUACAAUGAGUCAUCCACUUGUCAAAAAUCAAUCCUCAGUUUGAAUUAUUAUCAACUUACAAUCAAAGAACGAUGAUAUUUCUAAGACCACCUCCAAAUUUGAGUGCAAAUAUUCUGAGUUCUCUAAGAUAUCUUUUAGAAUGUCCAAUGCUCAAUGUGCAUUCGUGGACUUAAUAAAUAGGGUGUUCAAGACAUUCUCUACAAAUUUGUUAUAGUGUUUGCGGAUGAUAUUUUUUUAUACUCUCAUAGUCGAGAAGAACAUAAAGAUCACAUGAAGAGGAAUUGUGCUACAAAAACCGUGAGGCAUGGACGCUAUGUAAACAAAUUUUGGCUAGACUCAAUAGCAUUGCUCGAGUAUGUUGUAUCUAACGACGGAUGGGUUUAUUGCGACACCUAAGUUGGCAUAAGUAGUUCAGAAAUAACGCAAUUUCAUUACUCUUAUAGAGAAUAACAACUUUUUUUAUUUUUGACAGGCUAAUACAGGCAUUUUGUGCAUAGUUUCUUUGGAAUAGCACUUGUCUGAAAAUUACAACUCCACUUAAUUACCCGGCUACCAAAAAAAAGAAGUGAAGUUUCAAUAAACAGAGCAAUAGGAAUAGAUGCUUUUAGAAGCUCAGAAUAUGUUUGACUACCAUAACAGUGUUAGUUUGUGAUGCUAUGUGAUGUUUUGAGGGUGGGAUUAGGAUGUGUUCUCAUUAAGAAAGGUCAUGUGAUAGUUAGUUUAUACUUCGAGAUAGUUGGAUAAGCAUGAGCAGAAGGUUACAAUGGUAUUUUAUAUAAAGUUCGGAGCACACUUAUACAAUGAAAUCAAUGUGACUUAUACAAACCGCAAGAACCUGAAAUAUAUGUUCCAAAAACGGGAUUUGAUCUUUCAAUUUAAACGGAUGGAAAAAACUACUCCAUACUGUCAUGUGGGAAACAAAUUUGCUUAGAUAGAUGCGGAAAUCCAUAGAUUAUAUGGAACAUAUAGCUCAUGCGAAAGGACUUGUAGCCUGGAAUUUGCACAUACUCAUGGAUACAAGUAUCAAAUUAGUGUGAGAAACUCAGAGACACUAUUCACUUUUUAUGUUCAGCUCAAGUCCUUAUUGGUAACACACAUCAAGGCCAACUAAUUUGAGGAUGAGAAAUUAUGUGAAUACUGAAAUGAGAUUCUAGAGGGUAAAGACAAGGAUACGACUUUUGAUUGUUAUGUUGUUUCCCUUUAACAUAGAUGGUUUGAGGUAAUAUAUUCUUGAAGAAGACAUACCUCUAACUACAAUAUAUGUCUGGAAUCACUAUGAAGUAAUAUUUCCUUAAACAGUUAUAUUUGUAGAGGGGAAGAAGGCAUUUAUUCUAGUUGUCUAGCUUGUCAACAUGUUAAAGUUGAGCAUCAAUGACCCACAGGAUUAAUACACCAACUCCAGAUCCCUGAGUGGAUAUGAAAAUGGAUAAACAACCUUAAUGAUACCAUAUAUAUAUAUACACACACUCUUAUAAUAUCAUUGACUAAUGAAUAAUUUCUGAACAAAAAAUUUUAAUGAUACCACAACAAUAUACGUAUACUCUUACAGUAUCACUGAAUAAUGAGUAAUUUCUAAACAAGAAACUUUAAUGAUAGACUCUGUGUGUGUAUAUAUAUAUAUAUAUAUAUAUAUAUAUAUAUUGAUUUAGUAUCAAUUAAGUGAAAUUAUCAGGCUUAAUGAUACCAAUACAGCAUAUGAUACUGAUUUAGUAUCACUUAAUAUCAGCUUUAAUGAAUGAAGGGUAUGGGCUGUAAAAAAAUUGAGAGAAUGGGUAUUUCUUGAAUUACUUUUGAUUGGGGUAUAACAUGUAAUUAUUUUGAUUUUUAUGGCUCAUUUAUGUAGUUUUUCCAUUAUAAAGUAUACUCGGAGGCAUUUAGAUAUCUUAAUUAAUUUUUUUUAUUCUACUUGCAAAUCAAAAUUUAUGAAUAAUAUUAUUUUACUGAUUAUUUUGUAUCCUUUCAUCUUAUACCGACAAAUAGUAUUUUUGCAUUCUUUCUUGAUUAGUUCAUUAGUAUAAAGAAAGAAAUUAAAAAAUUUAAUAGACUAAAGUAUGAUAGAUAUUUAAAGUAUAUGUGAAUAAGCCACAAUGAAAAAUAUUAAAUAACAAAUCUAAAAAGAUAAAUUUUUGAAGUUAUAGCUUAGAGUUUGAUUCAACAUGAUGUACACAAGUAACACAUACAUAUUUUUUUCAUAGAAUAAUUUUAAAUUUUAUUUUUUCCUUUAAAAUUCAUAUUCCAUAAUUUUUUGUGAAUUAUAAAUUCUUUUUAAUUCUUGGGACAGAUUUAAUAGUUUUUUAGAAUUCUAAUCAAAGAACAAUAAAUUUUAAAAUUGAAUAUGAAUAAAAAAAAAUUGAAUAUGAGUAAGAAUGUAUAUUCGAUAUAGCUUAAAGUAUUUAUCUUAAAUUUUAAAUCAUAAUCACUUCUAACAUAUUAGUUUAUAUUGAGAUCUUCUUCUAAUAUAUAUAUAUAUAUAAUCAUUUCUAUUAUGCAUAACAACAUCUAUCAAUUAUAAUUUCAUGUUAUACAAAUUCAUUACAAAAAUGUAAGAAAAUAAAUAGUCAAUCAAUAUCUCUAUUAUAUUGUGUAGCAAUACAAAAUUAUAAUUUAGGAUAAAAUAUGGUAGAUAAAUAUAAACAAUGAAAAAAUUAUGGUUAAUGAAAUAAAAGUUCAAAAAUAAAUUUUAGGAAUAAUAAAAAUACUUGUGUUAUGUAAAAAUAAAUAGCUAAAAUGACAAGCUAUUAAAAGUCAGGGCGUUCGGUUCUUCGGUUCGAUUUUAUCAAACUUUGAUUCGAAUCAUCGGUUUUCAAUUUUAGAAAAUUGUGCACCGUAUAUCAAACCAAAUUAAUUUGGUUUGGUUUGGUUUUUCCUACUUCGAUUCGGUUUAGUUUGGUAUUUUUAAAUCGGCUUUUCGGUGUGAAUGAAAAAUAAAAUGAGGGCAAAAUCAAAGUAUAAGAUACGUAAAAAUUUAAAAGUAUGUUAAGGAAUAUUGUGUCUCACCAUGCAACACUUAUUGUGCUAACUAAAAUACUAUAUUUAUCUUUGUCUAGAACAUUGUGCAUCCAACUACUUUCCGAGAAAAACAAGGACGAAAACGGAUUCUUUUACAUAAAGUAUAUUGAUAAAAAUAUGUUUUGGUCCUCUUGGGAAUUAAUAUUUGAAGUUAACUAUUGAAUUGUACAUUUCUUGCUAUUUUGAUUUGUUCAUGAAUGAUUUAAGUGUUAGUUGACUCUUUAUUUUUAGUGAAGAGAAUGCCCAUAUAUAUAUAUUACUUUUUUAAUAAAAGUUCGGUUCUUCAGUGCACCGAAGUUCUGAGACCCUUAUACCGAACAUCAAACCGAAGAAUCAAACUUUUGAAAAAAUAAUACCGACACCGAAUCGAAAAACCCAAGAACCGAAUUAGUUCGGUUCAAUUUAAUUUUUUGAUUUUCCGGUAUUUAUGUCCGCCCCUACAUAGUAAUGUAAGCAUACUAAUUAUUGAAUAAUACACUAAUAUUAUAUUAUUUUUUUUAAAAAGAAUCUUAAAACAGCCUAUGUGGUGCCCUCACAGAUCAGGAUUCUUAAUUAACCCUUCUUAAAAGUCAUAACUUUAUGAAAAAGUCACAACUUUUCAUAAAGUCACAACUCUUUAGAAAAGUCUGAACUCUUCAAAAACUUUUCAACAAAGUCAUAACUCUUGAUUUUGCAUUCACUCUUUUUAAACCCAACACUUAAUUCUAAGGCACCAAAAGAAAAUAGAAUAAAAAAAAAAUGAUUUCAAUUACAAUGCAAUAUUACUACUUUUGUCUAUCAGUCCACAACUCAUAAAGCUACUGGAAUGGUUGAAUUCAUAACAAAACUUCUAUUUCUGCCACUAUUAUUUGUAGGGUUUUUUUCGCAAUAAAGGAAUUGAAUUCAAAUACAUUAAUUAAGCUUCUUAUGAAUUUUGUUUCAUUCCUCAAAGAUUUUUUCCUCCUAUUUCAGGAAGCUUGAUAUUUUACUGUAAGUCAUAGUGAUUCAUGUAACUAUUGCAAUUUCUUUUUGCUAUUUUGGUGACUUUUUUUUUAACUCGGCUAAAAAUCCCAACAAGGAUGAUUGAAAAUUGAUCUUCUCUUUUGCCCCUUUCUACAGGCUUCCUCAUAUACUUUUUGGGAAAAUUGCUUGUGGAUUGUGUUAUAUUUAAUAGCACACAAUAACAAAUAUGUGACAACUAAAAUGGAACCUAUGGUGAAGUUUGUUAAAAGAACCAAACAUAUUGCUCCCUUGUGCCACAGUUAGUAUAUUAGUUUGAUUGUUUUUUCUUUGGUACAAACAUUUUGUAUGUUGUUUCACUUUUCCUAGAAUAUUAAUAUAGAAACAAUUAGUCCACUUCUUUUAUUGCAAGUUGACUUAUUUGUCAUAUUUCUUCCACUCUUCUUUUUGGGCAUAAUAAAAGAUUAAGUUUUCUUGAAACUAACAUAUGCCCAAAAUACACUAUAACCAAAAAAAACUAUCGGCAAUAAAUAUGCACAUUAACAAAGAGUGCUAGAGUCUUUACCAACAUUAAUUAAUUGUCAUUAGAUUCAAUGUUGCUAUAAACUUUAGAGACAUUUAUAGAGAGUACUAAUUGCCCUGAAAAUACAUAUUUAGCGACAAUUAAGCUAUUAAUUAUCGUUAAAGAUCAUUUUUGUUGUAAUGAUAACUCUUUAUUUUGGCUUCUUUCAAUUAAAUUUGUGAACUAUAAACUUUGAUACAGCCCGGCACACUAUCUUUUUGAAAAAUAAGUUAAACAUGCCUUUUUCUUCUUGAUUGUUAGAAAAGUAAGGUCGUCUUUAUUAUUAUUUGUGGAUAUUUGUGAGUGUAAAUGCUCACAAAAUUAUGUUGUGAGAUUUUAAUAUGUUAUGAAUUAAAAUUUUGAUUUAGAAUAUCCAGUUGUAAACAGUUCCAUUCAGAUGUCACCUACUGCUUGAUUGAUCAUUGCAUUAAAUUCUUUGUAACUGCGUACUAUAACCAUAACAAUAACUAUGGUUCAAUUUCAUAAGUUGGGGUUGGUGAUAUGAAACCUAAGCAAUAGUAAUGACUAUUUUGAGACAAUGAGGAAAAACCUUUAUGAUAUUAACAAUUUUAGGGUCAUUUUUGACAGAUGCAUGAUAUAGCAUACUAUAAUAAAAAAGAGGUUGAUAGAGGUUCAUAAGAAAGGAGCCAAAGGUUCUCCAUUUGAAUUUAGUUAAUUAUUCUCUUGUAUGGACUUGAUGUUCUACUUUACUUGGGAGUGUUGUUGUUCGAGGUUUUUUGGUCUCUUUUUAACAUCUGAUGUUGUUCUUUAGAAGUUCCUGGAAUUUAGAAAAUUUCGUUACUUCUGACCAACUAUUUUCAUGGAGAUUUUCUUAUACUUAAAAGCUCUCUGACGCAUAAUUUUUGUGCAACAAAAACGAAAAUUAAAAAAAAUAUAGUACUUUAAGAUUUCAAAGGAACUUUUUGCCUUAAGAUAAAAUAUUCUUGACAAUGUAGUGUAUGUAUCAAAAAUACGGAUAUUACCGAAUAAUCAUAUGUGAUCUUACUAAAAUAGUUCAAUCCUGAUUCGCACAGAUAAUUACCUAGUUAUAAAUCAAGACAAAACUAUGAAACAAGUUAUAAAUUAUAAUUUUAAAAAAAUGUAAAGCACGACUAAUUUUUAGAUGAAAAAAUAUUUUUUAAUUAUAACAAGUAAAAUUUUAAAUUUUGUAUACCAUGUAACUGAAAUCUCUUUAAAUAACAAAUUAAAUGACUAUUAAAGUAUACAAAUUUAAGCAACUCAAACUUAAACUCAGCAUUCUAUGUAAAUUGAAAUGAAAUUGGAGGCCGGGGGGGGGGGGGGGGGAGUAUAUCUCAAACUAAUUUUUGCGAAAACAUAAUUAAAAAAUUAAAUAUUACACAUAUUACCAUCCAUAAGAUUUAAAUGGAAAAGGCGUGAACAAUAGAAUAAAAAUCUAAAAAAUUAAAAUAUUCAAAGAGUAAACAAAAUAAAUAGAUUUGUGUUAUAUUAAUAAGAUAAGAAGAGCACCUGAUAAAUUAUAUUCAUCCAAGUGAUAAACUAAUAAAAAUCAAUAUUAACAAUCUAAUAAUUUUGAAUAGUGAACAAUGUAAAUAAUACAAAAUAUGAAACAUUAUUUGAUAAAUACAUAAUUUGUUAUCUAUAUUCAUAUCCAUAGAGAUUUAGUUAUUGAAAUUAAGAGAGGUGUGGGUACAUAUUUCACUAAGAAGCAAUAUGAUAAUUGAACUUUUUUCUAAGAUUAAUACUAUUUAGCAUGUUCAAAUAAGAUAUCACAUUUCAAAACACUUAAAAAUAAUAUUUUAAUAUUAUCCACGCAUGCAUACAUAUAGCUAAAAGGUUCACAAAAUUCCAUUAGUCCGUCUCAUUAUCAUUACGUCGGCAAUAUUAUUCGACUCCGCAAAUUUCUUAUUCCAAUUACCACCAACAUUUCAGAUUUGUAAUACUCCUUCCAUCCCCUUCUUACGCGUUAAUUAUCUUUUUUUAAAAUUAAAAAAAAAAAAAAAGAGAAGACUUUAAUUAUCCACUUCUUAAUAAAUUAAGAGAACUUUUGUUCUGAUUGUCCCGUUAUUACUAAGUUAUCAUUUCACAAAAUAAUUGGAACAGUCAGUUAAAUUCAAAUAUCCAAAAUAUCAUUAAUAAAAUAAUUUAAUAUAAUGAACAAUAAACUACAACAUUUAAUAAACUGAACAAGAAACUACUACAACAAUGGCAUACCCAGUGAAAAACGAAUACCUCCUUCCCUAAGAAGAGUACAAAACACAAAAUGAACUGACUCCCAUCACUCUACAGUCUACUCAAGAGUGUGUUUCUUGAAAUUAGGGUUGCUUUCCACUUUCUUUUCUUACUGACCUGUGGAAAAAAAAAAACAUGACAUCUAUGGACGACAUAGUAUUUAGCAUCAAUCAACACUUGUUUACAACGAAAAAAAUAUUAUGAUUCUUAAGAACUCAACGGGCCCUUCCCCUUCGAAUCAAACAAACAAAGAAGGGAAUCCCAUUAGAACUUAUGCUUUUAUGUUGACAACACAAAUUCUUUUAACUCAUUUUUUUUUUCUUUUCACCCUGUUUGCAAUGAAUUUGAAUUUAAAAGUUCAAAGCUUAGCUUCCAUUUAUCCGAGUACCCACUUUCCAAGUUAAUCAAUAGCAGAUGCUUAUGCAUUAAAACUAGAAAAGUUGGUGGUUCGGAGCAAGACAACUCGAAUAUGCUAAAAUGAGAAUCUAACUUAUAAAUUAAAAUACAAAACAGGACCUUUAUGGUGAUUGUCGCCUCUAAAAGAUUGCACCUCAUAUCUACGAUUUUUAAAAUUGGACGAAUUUCAAGAUUACAUUCUUCCAUCGAAAUUCAUUUCCAGAUAUUUAUUUAUUUUUCAAUUGAGAUUCAAGUCCAAACACAAAUAAAAUUAAACUCCUUUGAACACUUCACCUUGAAAUAUGCUUUACUUUUCAACUUCACCCAACUAUUAUAAUGUCAUCCUAUUAAUCGGAUAUGCCUGUGAGUAACAGUACAAUUAUUGGAAAAGGCGUCUGUGAGUUGAUAGGUAUAAAUACAUAUUGGUCCUGUCCUUCCGUCUCUUUUUUAGUAAUAUGCAGAAUAGGAAAACUCUAAACAUGAAUAGUACUUACUUAAACUAAAAAUGCCUUCACAAAAAUAUCAUGGCAACAGAUUCAAAUCAUAAUCAUUGUUAGAUAAAAUACCCAUAAUUUAUUUGCUUCAACUUGAACAUAAGUAGAAAACGUCCAUACCACUUAUAGAAGCACCGACAUUUGAUGUUUACUCCAGAGCACACUGUUUUCUGUUAAUCUGGGUCCAAGCAUUGAAUAUUGUUCACCUCAGCUACAAUGUUCUUCCACUUCACAUGUUAUCACAAAAUUGAAAACACAUGCAGCAAAACAAUUUCCUACAAUUUCAUUUUUCUUUUUUCUGCCCUUGCUCAGCACCGAAAGAUUAAUUUCCAGGAAACCUCUGGUAAAGCUUUCAAGAAGCUAAUCUUCAACAACCACCACGAAACAGUAAAUUUUCUAGCCCAACAAAUCUUUUCGUUUUUUAAGUAGGUCAAGACAGAUGAAAUACUCUCCAAUUUGCUUUCCCACCAUCCACACCAACCUUAACUUCUCCCUUUCUCAACUCUCUUGGGGUCCUUCAUCUUCAUCAGAAUUCAUGAUCUUUAAUAGUAAAAUCCAUGUUUCAUGUUCUUUCAAGAUAAGCACAGAUCAUCAGACUGUCAGCUUAUGAUUAAAUGUUUAGGCACCUCAACAGCACUGAGAAUGAGUCGGAGCACUCCAAAUUCAACAAAUAACCCAAAAGUUACCACCGUCUUAAUGAAUAACAUCCUAAAACAGAUGAUUAUAAUAUCAAGAAAACUUUGAUGCAAACAUUCAGAUACAACAUCACGGUUUCGACAUGUACACCAGUCAACGUCCAUAAACAGUGACAGUUAAUGAAAAGCUCAGAUGUGUGUAAGAUAGACAUCCACUACACAAAAUCACUGCUGAAAAAUCCCCAUGAAAAAAAAAACUUUAUUAAAGCAGAUUGCACGAUGUCAAUUGGUCAAUCAACAGCAUAGUGCCAAGAUUUGUGGAUGGAAUGGAUGAAUAUUGUAGAUAUCCUACUUACUCAUAAUAUUUCAAAUUAUUUACACAAUUACCUUUUUUCCCAAAAUUGUAACUCCAUCCAACGACAGAUAUACAUGAAAAUUUUACAUAACUCUUUGCUUUUAAAGAAAAAAAAAACAUAUGAACUGCAAAUGUUCUUUCACAAAAAAGGACCACCAUUUUGUGGUGAACGGACAAAAAAGGAAGCAGAGGUGUACUGCUACAGUUCAGGGAUCUGACUACACAAUUACCUCAGAAUUUUGCAGCAGAACAAUCUGCCAGGAUCAAUUAGAUAUUAUUGUACUGCUGACCAAUAAAGGGCUACAAUGUUGCAUGCUGACUAGCUAUCUUCCGUAAUACCUGAAACAAUUGACAUUUGCUAACAAAAUCACUCUCAAAUCAGAUGGCCUCUAUCUUGUAAACACAAUAAGACAUAUAUUCCUGUUGUUGCAAAAUGCCCAGAGGGAGGAAAAGCGAAAAUUAGGAACAAGAAUCAGAAAAGUCAGGAAAACAAUUGAAGCAUAAGCGUCUAGAACUCCCCAAGGGAGCAUGCUCAAGUCACUUGUACAAAGAACAAAUAAAGCGCAAUAACUAGCUACUCUAAUAGCAUUCCUUUCAUUAAAGUUGUGCUGCAAUUAGUCUAUUAUUAAGUUGCAGUUGCCUCUUUGAGAACUUCCAAAGCAACUAGCAAAGUACAGCCCUGGGAGCCAGUCAACUUUAUCGGUUAAACUAUAGCAGGUAAAAGGACAAGUUUACUUGCAAAAAUAUAAUGUUCUUUAAGCUGAGCACGGUAACACAGUUCCGGCUACGGUAUGGGGAACGAGAAGGGAAGGUGAGGUCUACUCAUUGAUUUUAUAUUAGAUAAGCACAUCGUCCGGGAGACAUGGGCCCACACACUACACAUAAGAAAGAAUUCUUGAACAGUCACAACUCAUAACAAGAUGGUCUAUGACCAUUAUAUUAGUUUACUUGCAAAAAUAUAAUGUUCUUUAAGCUAGACACGGUAACACAGUUCCGGCUAUGGUAUGGGGAAGGAGAAGGGGAGGGGAGGUCUACUCAUUGAUUUUACAUUAGAUGAGCGCAUCGUCCGGGAGACAUGGGCCCACAAGAAAGAAUUCUUGAACAGUUGCAACUCAUAACAAGAUGUUCUAUGACCAUUAGAUCCACAGAAAGAGGAGCAACUAACAAGAGGGAUAUAACAGAAUGAAAGGAAUGUCUUCGAUUUGGCUCUUGUUCGCGGUAGGUAUAUAGCACGCUAGGCUUGCUGAAACACAAUUCUACGAAAGUAGAACCCAUGACUUAUGUUGAACACUUCCGCUCCAAGAAAUUAUAAAUAAACAUAUUCCAAUAUAAAAGGCUUAUAUAACGCAAUGCCUUGAAAUUUGGGUGAUAAACAAGGUUUAUGAGGAGAUUCUGUAGCCAAGAAAGAUCAGUAAACUGAAACUCAAACCCAUCAAUAAUUUUCACAACAAAGGAGAAGAAAGGAGAAUAGGGAGAUGGAGAAGAUAGGAGCAAUUUCCAAAAUAAGCAAUCUACUUGUAAACACAACACCUCCCAUCCAUGAGCCAAUAUUGAAUAGCAGUUCAAAAAAUAAUUACUAGACAGGGCUCAAAGCUAACUACCACGAAUCUCAAGCUACAGUGUGAUCAUACAUACUAUCUGCAGGCAUAGAAUGAUUUCAAUAUAAGUUGCAAUCUAACAUUAUAUAGAACUUGGGUUCUCAAGCUGAAAGCAUGAAAACCCUCUAAACACUGUAAUAAUCAUUUUGUAACACAUCAGACAUUAUCCAAUAUACAACACGACAUGGACAUACACACUGAGAUAAGACUUUUUUAUGUUACAAAUCACAAGCAAAAAUCUCACAUAGAUAAUUCGAAACACCCUAUAUCAUGACAUUAGUUCUAAUAUAUAUUCUUUACCAUGCAAUACUAACGAAUUUCCAACGUGCAAAAAUAAAAGUAGGUGGAUGAUUGGGCCUAUCUCACAUAAUGAAUCAUACAAGUAUGAAGUUCAUGUCAGAGCAAAUUCAAACUCCGCAUGAAAAAUAUUUCAAGAAUCUUCUCUACAGAAAGUAUUAGGCUGCUGAAAAAAAUACAGCAAGAAGAAAUUCUAACAGACAAAAUUCAGUCUGUGAUGACUAGACCAACCCAUUAUUCCAUACAUUCUUUUUUUUAAUAACCGAGAAAUCCGUUUGUGACCCAUCCUUUGGACCAAUCACAGCCUUCUAAAUUCGGUGGAUAAUGGGUCAGCCCCUCUACCCUUCUCCACCUGAAUACUGGGCUUCACUUGGCAUGGUGUGGGGCUUGAACCUGCAACCUAAGCCACAAAUCCUCCACCUUUUGCCACUCGAGCUAGGCCUUGGAGGCCAUUAUUCCAUACAUUCUAAGACAGAUUAUUUUUUAAGUUGAGUAAUUAUGCCAACAUACCAUCUCUGCACUUAAUGUUCAAAAAGAAAAAAACAUCUCUGCACCUGAUUUUCUUCUACAACAAGUCAAGAAGUUUAUCAUUUCCUACCAACGCAAACUGUGUCCCAUGCCCUAAUAAACCCAUGUACGCAUAACUUUUAGACAAGAGUGGCACAAAAGCUUGAGGCACCUAUAGAUACAAAAAAAACACUUAUGAUGCCUACUAAAACACCUAAUUAGGUCUUUAUAGCCAAGAUCCUGCAGUUUGUUGCUUAAACAAUAUUGGUUCAUGCACUACACCCCUCUACAAACAAUGGUACAUACUUCUAUGCCAAAUCUUAUGAAAAUAAACAUACACUACAAAAUAUGCACGCUGAAGCAACAUAUUAGAAUCUUUAUGUGCUUCCGCUAGGUGCUAGCUAUGCUGCAUCUGCCUACACGAGCAUUGCUGGCAUGCUUCCUUAGUAGCACUAAUUUAACUUUUCCACAGAGCACGUGCAUAUAUUAGAGAAACAGCUUAACAAGCUCUUUCGCCAACUGAAUGUUAAAUGGUACAUUUCAUCUAGCUUCUCGCACAUCUUCCUUCAUUUACACAUUUGAUAUAAAAAAAUGUUAAAAAGCACAUCUCUUUCAGAAUUCUCAAACCAAAAUGUUGUUAAUUCACUUAAGAGGUUGUUUGGAUGAAAGGUUCAGGCCUUAGGGAAAUUAAUCUUGGCAGAGAAUAAGACAAUAUUUGGUUGGUUGGAUUAAGAAGAACCUCUACAUAACUAAUGCAAAAUUUGGUUGGCAUAUAAGAAAUAUCCCUGCACAACUAAUGCAGCAUUUAGAUGGUGGUAAGCUGGUAAUAAACAAUACCCACAUCUAAGUUAUUUUGGGAAUCCAGAUAUUAUUCCACGGGGAGUCUCUAGAGUUUGGAUUUGAGGUGCAGUUGGUAUGAUAAUAAUUCUCCUCGUAAAACAAAGUUAGUGACAUCCAAGUGAGAUUUGAAAAUAUCAGUCAGGUAUAUUCUUCUUUCCUGAUAAAGACCAAGUAAACAGUUUCACCUGACUCUAUUACCCCUAUUGUCCUGAAUCCUCUCUGCUCUUACCCAGACCUUCCUUUCUGGACUUGUCCUCUCUUUGAUAAGUUUAUUCAUAGACUUCAGAGUUUCUUUUUGACAAGUAAGCAGAUUGUUUUUAUAUAUGGCAAACAUGCACUGAACCAGCCCUACAAAAGAUAAUUACAUGGAGUGAAAGUCACCUGUCAGAGAGUUCAUAUUUAUCAUCUUUGUUUUUGGGUUGGUGUUUUAUUUUGGGGGAGGGGGGUGUAUUCCAGAGGUUUGAUGUUGUGCAUAAUUUGGCAAUCAACUAAGACACUGUUGUAAAACCGGCCACUAAUAAAUACUCCUAAUCAUAUUUGCGGGUUUUCCAUAAUAACCAUGAGAUGUCAAACUACAAUAAUCUAGGAUGCCAUAUUACACUAUUCUGGUAAACCUUCCUUGCUUUUGUACUUUCCACAAUAUGUGAUUGAAGAAAUCUCCCAGGUAACCAACCAUGAGUGGAACAAUAUAUGAUAAUCAUCCCGAGCUAUGAAGGCAUAUAAUGUCUGUUAACCAUCAAAAUUUGCAGGAUUUCCAAAUACAGAAAUGCUUCUCAUGGAAGGAUUAUGCAAUUGUCAGCAUAGGUGGGCACUAGCAACAAAGUAAUGCUAAACCAAACAAAAACUGCCAUCUACUUGUGCAUGAAUCUAUGGAAGUAGGAAAAGUUUUUCAACAAGAAAAAUUUAUUGCAUCAUUUUCUAUGUGAAUAACAGUAACUUAACCAGACUGCACUCAUAAAUAACAGUAAGGAAAAGUUUUUCAACAAGAAAAAUUUAUUGCAUCAUUUUCUAUGUGAAUAACAGUAACUUAACCAGACUGCACCUAUAAAUAACAGUAAUUUAAUUGGACUAGAAAUGACUUUUCUUAGCUUCAAAGUUCACAAGAUUAAUGAUUUAUUCUCAUUCGUUCGCACAGUGCUCUAAAUUUUAACAGUGCUACCACAUUUGUACUUCACAAUAGGUAGAAGUGAAGCCUUUCAUUUUUGGCAGUCUAUCAACUAUGCAUUAAAAUUAAGAACAGUUAGAACUCCACAAUUUCUGUCACAUCCAGCAGGUUUAAGAACAAGUCCAACUAAUAUUAAGUAUAUUUGAAUGUCAAAGAAAACAUGUUCAAGAGAGUGAGCCAAAUGGAGGAGCAGGUCCCAAUAAAUAUAAGAAAUAAAAUGUUGAAGCACCGACAAACAGAUAGGUUCAGAUUCUUCAAAGAUUAUGUUUGUAAGAACCAAACUCUGAACAGUUUAUUUUAAUACUUACAAUGGCCGUAACAGCAGCUUCUGAGAAUCAGAUUACAGUGAAUUAUUCAGAUAAUACACCAACCAUUCAGAAGGUUCAAUUUAGUUGCUCAGUACGGUGGUAGCAGCAGCUUCUGAGAAUCAGAUUAUAGUGAUGGUAAUUACCAGAUUACAGUGACUUAUCACCACCGUAAUCUGAUAUGUUACAAGAACUAAUUACACAUGUUCCAGUUUUGUCCCAAAACUUUGGUAAGUUAUUUACAAGGCUAUAUUUUCUAAAUCAAUUUUAAUACUCAGUAUGGUGGUAGCAGCAGCUUCUGAGAAUCAGAUUAUGGUAAUGGUGAGAAUCAGAUUAUGGUAAUGGUGAGAAUCAGAUUACAGUAACUUAUCACCACCUAAUCUGAUAUGUGACGAAAACUAAUUACACAUGUUCCACUUUUUGUCCCAAAACUUUGGUAUGUGUUAUUUAUUAGGCUAAAUUAUCUAAAUCAACUUCAGAUGAAAUUACAAAUUAUAAAAUUUCUUUACCAAACAAAUAGAAAAGCAGUCUUAUAUCAGUUGUUGGCUAAGAUGAAAUUAAAGACCUCAAAGAUGUCAUACAGCAUUUUGUGCCCACGGAAGGAACAUCGUGUGAAGAGAAAAACUUCUACUCAUUGACUACAUCAAAAAUACACCAUUUUUAUUGUCUUACAGCUCACUGCAAAAAUAAUGUCAUCUGCAGAUUUUCUUCAACGGAUUCCAAAAUCCAAUCAAAUAUUUUAGCUCUAAGGAAUCCUAUUCAAUAUUAACUUAUCCAAGGAAUCAAUGAUUGAUGCAAAUUAAGGGGGCAGAACAUUAACUCUAUAAACAAAGGGGAAAAAAGGGUCAUCAGUUGUCCUUAUGUUCGACUGAAUUAUCAUACCGAGUCAUGUAGAUACAUGUUUUAUUUUUUUGAAGAUACAAGUUUAAUACAAUAAUUUGAAAUUGGGAAAAGUCAAAAAGUUGGUCAAAAGAUAUCACAUUAAAGUUGAACUAAUAGAUAUUUCUAACUUGCACUCACUUCAAGCUAAAAGAAGUGCUAUUUAUGCAAUUGGAACAACUGUUCGGGUUAAGACUAAACUAAGAAGUAGGCAGCCUAGGAUGAGACUGAGGGGUAAGAAAUGCAUUAAGUAGUAUGACCUUAUUUCAAUAACGGUGCCUGUUAAGAUUUCAGCUACGCUGUUUCUUUUACCUUCCUUUUUUUUCCUUGCACGACAAUUAAAAUAUAGAGAACUUCUAAUAUAAAUUAGUAUUAUUAUUACAUAGAUAUUAACUUAUUUUUCAGUUUCAUUUGAUCUGAUGAUGGCAUGAGUUGAGCUUAAAUGGGGAAAAACUGAGGAUUCAUAUAGUUGAACCCAACUUGUUUGGGAUUGAAGCAUAGUUGCUUCUUUUAUUUGUGUGUUGUGAUAGAUUUGUAGGCAUAAAAUAGCCCUUGAUAUAGAUCACUAUAUAACAUAUUCAUAUCACAAAACAAAAAAGAGAGGUCACUCACUUGUUACCCUCUAAAACUGAUAUCAAAAACAUUCUCCAACAUCAAGAACAAGAGGAUGGAAAUUCCAAGGAAAACCAAAAAAGAUGAAUGAAGAUUCAAACUUGCUUGCUUAUUUGCACUAUGUAUCCAAUCCUAUCUACAUAGAUGUUCCUAACCAGGAGAUGAGGGGGUGCUUUGAAAGGGGGGCGAAAAAUGUUGACUUAUCUUUGUUUGUAUCAAGACACCUGAAGGGCAGGCCCUGUGCACCGCAGGAGCCGUGACCCUAAUGCUCAUGUGUAUGUCCAAUUAAAAAAUUUCAGUUGAUGGGCAUCAUGUGCCUUCAACCGUAAAACAAAAACCUCUGAUUAACUUGCUAACGUUUACAAGAAAGAUUAAAUGAAAAUGUGAGCAAGGGUUAAGAAUGCCAACAUGGAAAUUCUCAAAAUUGAGAAUCUGAAACAGGGAAAAUUUGGUUAGCCUAUAUCAGUUAUGCAUCCUCCCAAAUUUCCAGUUAUAUAUGAAGUAUGGCAGCAAAUUAUUAUAUCAAUACUCAGUGGUAAACAUAUUCUUCAAGUUAUGAAGGAUUCUCAUUGUACACGGAUAGAGUCAGUAACUCAUUGCUGAUAUAUGAUAGGAUUUUACUUGCAUUACCUGGAGACUAAAAGACAUCACCAAAUUCAACAAGAUUAACCAGUUGAAAAAAAGAAGAUGAUUUCUUGUUAAUAACAAAAUUAAAGGAAGAUGACCAGCUAAUACAAAUAUUUCUCAUCUGCACCGAACUCUAUAACUCAGUAUAGUCAGAAUAAUUACAAGGGUCAACAGGGCUUACACUUUGUUAAGUAUGUGUCUGUGAAAUGCAUUUGUCAGGAAAAUUACAAUAGUACAAAAUCCUGCCAAGGGUCACCCAACUUUACAGCAAUUGCUCUAAUUACUGUCUUUUUUCCAGAUGUCAGUCCUGUAUCCUACUUGAGCCACCAUUAGAUACUGAAAAGAACAAACAUAAAGGUCAUAUACUUCACCAAGAAAGAAGAAUUUAAGACAGAAGUGCAGUAAAUGACACCAUUCUUAGGAGUCCAAGAACUCUACAUGCACAAAGCUCAGAUGUGCAGAUAUGUCAACCAAGUCCUUUUCCAAACUACAAAUCCUGGUUAACCAGUAACUCACCAAUGAUCAAAACCAACUGUCAAUGGCCCUCAUGCUGGCCUCCAGUUGAGGACAGUUACGUCCGGUCGGCAAGGCAUUCCAUGACCUACCACAUUAGUCAGUCAGUUCUUUCUCCCACAAAGCUGAGACUAAGAAUCAAGAAGCAAAUUCAAAUAUAAAUUCUUCACCAAUAUUUCACCUGAAAUUGGAGGACCAGUAGGGAAAGCAUUUGACCCAGAAGGCUGGAAUCCAACAUUACUCACAGGUGGUCUAUCAGGCGGUCUGAAAUAACCUGCCAUGAAAGUCACUCGUCAAAGUGGUCUAUUGAAGAACGGCUAAACAAUGAUUGACGAUUCAAAAUCCAAGAUUGCUCCACAUUUUCUUUUUUGUUAACAGAUGUUACAACUUCAACAGUUUACCUAGUAAAGAACUUAGGUAUGUAUUGUAGGCCCUCAUAUGUGAAAAAAGAACAAAAUAUUUUCCGGCCACAACUUGAAGCCAUCACGUUAUAACCGAACAUAAGAGACGGAGUAAAAUUGGAAUGAGAAAAGAAGGAAAGAGGGAGUGCCUACUAAAACUAUAAGUGAGUGUCACACCUUCAUAUGAAUCAUUUAAAGAGAUACCCUCAAAUGUCAUGCCACAAAAGGAAUUGAGAAGUAUCGAAGAUUAAAGUUUAGUAUGGUACUGUUUCUCCAAAUACAUUUAUGGUUGUUACUGAUCACAACAAGCGCAAGAGCUGCAUCACCAACCUUAGUAGCGGUGGAAUGCCUUAUACAUUAUCACUUUUCUUUUUUCUGAUUAAGAACUAAUUUUUACUGAGCAUAUAGGAGAAUUCCCGCAUGCAAGAUGUAUACAAACCUAGAUAUAUGCCGUACAAAAACAUGACUCUCUACAAAGAGCGCACAAUCAAAUGUCACAGGUGCAUAGUAGAACUCUUCAACAAUCAGCAAGCACCAAUAAUUUAUUCAAGUAUUACAUGUCCCACUGACAAAAACAAAUGAAUCUAAGCAGAACCUAUGCCCUGACCAGUGACGAGUAACAGCUAGAUUUUGGUAAGCCAAGUGAAUGAUUUCUGUUUCCACGGAUCAAGUUCAACAGUUGAUAUUUAGAGCUUGUGCCAGUUUCAUGCACGUUACCACUUGACAAUGCAGAUAAAAGAGGGCCAGUAUAAGCAUCAUAUGCAGGCUUGAAAAUUUGAAUAAUAUGGUCUGUCAAAAUUCAUGAGUUAUUGGAGAUUUACUAAGAGCUAGCAGAAAUUCAUUUUAUUUUUUUAGAAAUUCAUUAUAUCCAAACUCCUGCCACUUUGCUUCUCAUGUAAAUCAACAAAAGCAUAGCGAAAGAGUCAAACCUUCUUGAGCAAUUGUUGGACCAGGGCAUGAUCUUCCUGCACCAAUCCACAUACUGCGCUGGUGGUCACCAUUGAACUCAUUGGGUUGAACCCUCCACUGUUCAUCACCAAUAUAACGCCUCGAUCCAUCAGAGCGCUCUGGUAAUGAGCACGGUGUAGGAUAUGCUUGUUGUGGAUGUUGCUGCACUGGGGCUCUUGGAUACGAAAAACUAUUGGAGGGGAUUUGAUGUGGAGGGUUAAGAUGCAUGGGCCUUGGGGUAAAAGGCACAUUACCAGGUUGAAAUUUCUGCGUGGACUGAGAAACUGGUGGGUUUAUAUAUGCAUCGUUAUAACCAUAUUCCAAAGGCCGUGAACUAUAUCCAGAAGAUUCCCUCAAAUUACUAACUCCUGCUGGUGUAAAAGAAGGUGGUUGCAAUGGGAAUACCUCAUUCCUAUUAGAAGCAUUGAUACGAGGACCAUGAGGCAUGUUUCCAGCUACCUGUGGUAGCCGAUGACCCUGUAAAAGAAUAUUAGUCUUAGUGUCAUAUAAUGAGAGAACAUAAAUAGCUCACAGCAAGAAGCCUUACACUGGGUAUGUUACUAACUUCGUUUGGAAGAGGAGGUUGCGUAUAUGCCACUACAGGUGAUGGCGAUGGUACUGAUGGAGUGAGAGUGUGCAAGUGUUGUGUCCCUACUUCAUGUUGGAGUGGGAAAGAAGGUUGAGGGAACAUGAGAGGAGGUGGUCCAGCGGGCAGUGGAGGGAAUGGAUGUGGCUGAGAUGGAGGUAGUGGGGGUUGUGAUGGAGGAAGUGGGGGUGGUGGUGGGGGUGGAGGUGGCAAUGGAGAUAAUGGAGGUGGAGGUGGCGCCGGUGAUGGANNNNNNNNNNNNNNNNNNNNNNNNNNNNNNNNNNNNNNNNNNNNNNNNNNNNNNNNNNNNNNNNNNNNNNNNNNNNNNNNNNNNNNNNNNNNNNNNNNNNNNNNNNNNNNNNNNNNNNNNNNNNNNNNNNNNNNNNNNNNNNNNNNNNNNNNNNNNNNNNNNNNNNNNNNNNNNNNNNNNNNNNNNNNNNNNNNNNNNNNNNNNNNNNNNNNNNNNNNNNNNNNNNNNNNNNNNNNNNNNNNNNNNNNNNNNNNNNNNNNNNNNNNNNNNNNNNNNNNNNNNNNNNNNNNNNNNNNNNNNNNNNNNNNNNNNNNNNNNNNNNNNNNNNNNNNNNNNNNNNNNNNNNNNNNNNNNNNNNNNNNNNNNNNNNNNNNNNNNNNNNNNNNNNNNNNNNNNNNNNNNNNNNNNNNNNNNNNNNNNNNNNNNNNNNNNNNNNNNNNNNNNNNNNNNNNNNNNNNNNNNNNNNNNNNNNNNNNNNNNNNNNNNNNNNNNNNNNNNNNNNNNNNNNNNNNNNNNNNNNNNNNNNNNNNNNNNNNNNNNNNNNNNNNNNNNNNNNNNNNNNNNNNNNNNNNNNNNNNNNNNNNNNNNNNNNNNNNNNNNNNNNNNNNNNNNNNNNNNNNNNNNNNNNNNNNNNNNNNNNNNNNNNNNNNNNNNNNNNNNNNNNNNNNNNNNNNNNGGUGAUGGAGGGGGAGAGGAAGGCAAAGGUGGGGUGGGUGGAGGAGAACAAGGAGGUAAUGGUGGGGAUCCCAUAGGUAGAGGCGGCAAAUCAGAUAAAUUAUCUAAAGCUGAUUCCAGGGUUCGAUCUGAGCCAGACUGGUUCACAUCAUCUGCAAACAAAGGUCUUUCAUCUUUUGGGUGACCAGAAACAUCUUCCAUUUCAAGCUCGCCAUCCACAUCCUCCAAGAUACAAUGACGCCUGUCACUAGGAGUGACCAUAUAUCUUUCAGCAUUAUCACCUGUUGCAGGUGUAUGCUCUAUUGCUAAUUCCUCAGCAGCUUCGUUUUGCAAAUUACGAAGAACAUCUUCUUCUUCCUCCUCCUCAUCAAAAACGUGAGAAGAUAAAAAUCCAGGCAACUGAAAUGUAGCAUUGCUGAAAACACAAGUAGGAAUAAAAUAUGUCAGGGUCUCAGAGAUUAAAGUAAAACAGCAGCUAUAACAAUAUUAUGACUUCAAUGACAGCAAAAGGGCAAAACAUUGCUACCAAUGCUACACAAACAAAAUGCCACAGAUUAUUAGAAAAUUAUAAAUGUGGAAAGCAGUUCUCAUGGGAUGGUAGGCAGAGGUUGUGGCAAAACGAAUCAGUAACAAAUUCUAAGAGAACAAAAGAAACUACGUCAACCGCAGUUGGUUACUAUCUUGAACACUGUUCUUAAAUUGGUUUAAGACCCAACAAUAAGGUCUUACUCCUCCUGCAUCUAGUCAAUAACAUUUCAUAAUAUGAGCCACUCACUGAGAUAAGCAUUUGCACCAACAGGAAACAGAGCACAACAGUCAUGUGGUGUGCACAGAUCCAAAAACAAACACUUGAAAAAGGAGAAGGUUCAAAAGAUACAUCUCUGAGAUUUGUACCCCGAUGAAAAACAGGGAUUCAGAUUUCGGAAAACCCCUUAACACUUCCAAAAACAGAGGAAAAUAUAUGCACACUGAUUCCUUCUUACACAGAUAAGCACACUGAUUCCUGUCUCAAACAUUCUCCUACCAUUCAAAUUGGGAUCCGAAACAAGAAUCAGAUACCUUUUUAUCAAAAAAGAAAAACAAGAAUCAUAUACCUAUUUCAUGAAUCAAAAAUUAAAUUGGAAGGCUCGAACAAAUUAAAGAAGGAUCAUGGAGCAAAUAGUUAAAAUUAUUUUAUCAACUACCAACAUAUGUUCAGUGCUAUUCUAACAUAUCCAAAUAUUUGCUGCAAAUGUACUCUCAAGGACGGCACUCAACUAAGCCCGUUCAGAAAAGGUUUGAAGAAUAUGAUCCACAUGAGUUAGCCGGGAGAGCACAUCAUUCAAAAAUGGGGAAAAUAAGGGGAAAAGGUGGGUUCAAAGCUUUUUGACAAUUCCUCUACAAGUGAACGCAAAAGGCCGAUAAAGUUCCUGAGCAUUAAAGAAAGAAAUGAAAAGCAAAAGUCUAAGCAUGCACUUUGCACCUCACUUUCAAAGCACAUGCUUCUUCAAAGUUGUGUCUACAAUCCUAAAAGAUAGUGACCCCUAGCUCACAUCUCUUUGUGACUUGACAUUUAAUAAGAUGGGUCUUCAGCUUUAGAGCCAGUUCCUAACCAUUCCAAGGAGAAGAGAAUUACAAGUAUACAGUCCUACACAUGGGACAGGCCACUUCAAAGAGGUAGGAAAUUGUCUUCAUCCCCUGUCUGAAAUUCAUCAGUGAUUUGUAGAUUCACAUCCAAUACCGACAUUAAAGUCCACACCAGCAUCAACACAAAGAAUUAUACUGAAUUCAGAUCAUGAAUUACAGCACCACCGAUAACAGCAUAGGAAGUUACAGUGCUUUGUUUUUUUCUAAACAAACAAUAAAACAAAGGGGCAGUAUAAUGCAGACGCCCAUGAAAACGAAAUGAAAGUUUCAUAGCGACAUUAAUAAGAUUCAUAGACAAAAGUAUUUCACAAGAACAAGGAUGGAAGUAAGUUGCUAACCUGCCGUACUCAUCAACAAGCAUGCCUUCCAUCUCUCUAAUAGGAUCAUCAAUAGCACGCUCAGCUCGAGAUGGUCGUCUAAAGGACAAACCACCAGACGAAUCAUCAUUCGACGUACCAAUAUCAUCCAUAUGACGGCGAAGAAGAGAAUCAGGAUAUAUUUUCCUCUCAAGCCAUAAUCGCAAUACCUACAAAGGAGAUACAAUCAACAUCAUGCAGGACUGCUUUUAAAUGACCAACUGGUUCUAGUGUUUGCGCAAUCACCUUGAGACAUUGACGACGGUUUUCCCGGGCACCCACUCCUGGUGGAGCAGCAGCUCCCAAAAGACGAGGUAAUGCCGCUUGAACAGCAGGAAUAUAUGAUGCUCCUGCAAUGCCUGAACAAAAAUACAUGUAACAAGGCAGAAGAUCAAAUCUAAUUCAAGUACCAUAUGUCACAAUUUUACCAGAUUUUAGCAAGUAAAAGGAUUGAGAAAAUAAAAAAUAAUACUUUUUAAACUCGAUCCACAAAGGUAGUUGAUUUAAUUUUAACACAGAAAGCAUCCACCGAUCAAGAGCUUUGCACGAAAAAAUACAAGGAGAAAAUAAGGCAGUAGCACGGUAUGGAAUCAGUCCCUAGUCCCUGUUCUCAGAGCAAAGCGUGAAAUAAUUUAGUCAUGAUCUUACGAUCUGAAAAUCUCUUCAUGCUAUACAUUAAGAUCCAUUUCAUCAAUCACCAUAUGUUAUUACUCCCUCCAUUUCAAAAAGAAUGACCUCCUUUCCUUUUUAUUUUUUUUAUUUUUUUUGAUAACCGAGAAAUCCGUCUGUGACCCGCCCUUUGGACCAAUCACAGUCUUCUAAACUCGGUGGAUAAUGGGCCCGCCCCUCUACCCUUCUCCACUUAAAUAUCGGACUUCGCUUUGCAUGGUGUGGGGCUUGAACUUGCGACCUAAGCCACAAAUCCUCCACCUUUUGCCACUUGAGCUAGGCCUUGGGGGCACCUCCUUUGCUUUUAGUUUGUUUCAAAAAGAAUGACCUCUUUCCUUUUUUGGUAACAUUUUACUAUCAGUUUUCCACGUGGCAUUUUUAAGAUCAUAAGAUUAAAGGGCAAUUUUGUACAUUUGACAUAACUUUAAUUUAGAACCACACGAUUCAAAAGUCUUCUUUAUUUUCUUAAACUCCGUGUCAAGUCAAACUAGGCCACUCUUUUUGAAACGAAGGGAGUAAUAAAUUUCUACCUGCAAACCGGACUCCCACUGCCUCCAUACUUGAGCAGAUGGCUUAGAUCCUUGUUUUCUAUCUUCUUAGUUCAGAAAAAAUUGCAAACCGAACUGCGAAUAACAUAGGACUUCUAUUCUAGCAGGUAAUAUGCCUCACAUGAUUACAAAACCCAUAUUUAUGGAAGGUAACCUGUAGAUAUUUUUUUAUGCCUGUCAGUGUAUAUAAGUUAAAACACUUUGGUAAAAGAGGAACAAUGUGUUGAUUGAACCGGGCAAUAGCUUCGGAAUCGAUAGCUCAGUGAGGUACACCACCCACGCUACUUCUAGUGAUAGAUAGAAAAGAUGGGAGAGGAGCUGCCAGUGCAGGAGUGAUAUUGUAAGCAAUGUGCAAUCGCAAAAUGUAAUGUAGCUACUAAAUUAGCCAGAAUUCAUCCUGGACACACAAACUGAAUUUAUGGAGAAGGAAAUUGUAAAGUAUCGGUACCUCAUACUACAGCAAAUACCCAAAAAACAAGAAAAAGAUUUGGAAGAGACCAAAAUCAGGGAAGAUCUUGUCAACCUGUGCACUCCCGCUAAACUAUACGUAGAAAUGGACUCAGAGAUGUCACUUAGUGAAGGGAGGUAGGUACAGAAGAAAUCAACAAGAAAGUAAAGAGGAGAUGAAAACAAAAUUAAGAAUCAUAAAUGUAGUGUGCUUUCACAAGAAUCUUUACCUUUAUGACUAUGAGAGCACUGAGUUAUAGAAUCCACCAAAAAAAACAGGUCCACCCUGCGAUGAAAGCUAGGUUCAUUUUCCAACUUCCGGGUAAGAAGUUCAACGACCUGCAUUAAAGAGGGCCCGAAUGCUCAAGAAGAGACUACAGGAGGUGACAAUAAAUGUACUCAUCACAAAAGUUGCUAUAUGCAGAGAGUUAUCUAUGAUGAUUAUAAGUUAGGUUAAAAUCUUAAGUCCUACCUUCUCAUUCAACAGCAAACAUUUCACACACCAACAUUUAACUUAAUAUGCAAGAUUCAAAACUCAGGUAAGUAAUUCAACCUAUUUAAAAAAGAACUUCGGAUAAAACAUUUGUCUAGACUAAACUGACUUGAAUAUAUAGAAGAAAAGAAUGGCUCUGCCAACUAAAUCUUGUUAGCUUUCCAAGAAGGCCUAAAAUAUGAGAAGUAUAGCAAGUUAGAUUCUAGAAAAGUCUCUGAGCAGGCAAGUCAAAAGCAGUUGCACUAGUCGUUUUCUUGCUGCUCAGCCCUACCCUUCAUUUAUCUUUUAGCUUUGACAAAGACCAGGUACAAGAUAUCACCACAAUCAUUAACCAUUUUAGCCAAUGCAGAGAAGUCCUUUACUUUAACUGGUAAGUUAUUUUAAUCAUUCAGAUCGAUAUUACAUAAAUUUCUAUGAUAAAUAAAACAAACUAAAAUUUUCAAGUAAAGAAAGUUUGUCUUACCUCUGAAGCCAGCCUCUAACUCAGUUAUUCUUGCUGUUAAGUCUUAGUUAAGCCAUAGUUUAUUAGGUUUGAAAGGAAAUCACAACAGCAUUGUUUCUCCUGGUUCAUGACACUAUCCAUAAUCUAACUCUUAAAACUUUGGUUAGAAAGAAGAUUUUCGGGGAUGAAGCCAAGCUCUAAAAAGCCAUUUUGAAAAAUUAUUCCCAGUUAUACAAGAAUGAUAUCUAAUAACAAAAACACACCCCAACAUGUUUGUUUUUUUUUAGAUAAAAAACCCGCCCAGAAUGUCCAAGGAAAUAAUUAAUAGAAGACACGCAUCCCACAUGAAUCAACGACAAUGCGAAAAUGACCAUAAGCUCUUACACCUUCAUAAGGUCAUCAGACUCCCACUAAGCACCUCACCUAUUUUGGUCACUUAACCCUCACGCCAGCACUUUUACCUCAAUUACCAACUGACACCUCAUUUCAUUAGAUGAAUUGCUAGGGAAUUUAUUUUUACUCCUAAAACUUUCAUUUAAAUGUCAUACACUCUCAUGUUUUCCGUCAAUACUAUACACAUUGUCUGGGCUUAGCAGACACACCUAUUAAUGAGAAAUGUCAAAACAGAACUUCUAAACACUCACACAGAAGCAAAUGCUCAAUCAAUGACACCAACCAUGUCUUGACACACCACCUGUGCACCCAUUAACUCCAUCAAAUAAAAAGAACUAAAAAGGGGAAGGCAAACAGAUGGAAAAAGUUGAACACAAACAUAUCAUGAAUCAACUUACAUAUCAUAUAUCAUGACCCCAUGAGCACUCUCGAUUCUUUUAUCAGCACAAUGUCACGCAAAGAGUUGAAGAACAGACAGAUAAAUGCUUUGCAUAAAGAAAUAUUGAUAGACCAGGUUGAUACUUUCUCAUGCAACGAGAAUUUUAAUAAGCAAUAUCACAGAACUUUUUAUGAGUAGUCCAUAAUGACAUUUAGAAAUUACAUGUACGAAACUUUUUGUCAUGAUAAAAGCUGUUGCAUUAUUUAGGCAUCUACAAGUUUGUCCUUGUUGGUAAUGAAAGAAUGAAAUCCGGGUAUAUACCAAUACCUGUUACGGGUAAAAAGAUGGAGAACGAAGGAAAUAACUCUCCCAAAAAAAAAAAAUUGUGGGGCAUUACCUGGAAUUAUUUAUUUACCGCAAGACUUACUACUUACUAUCUCCAUCUUCUAACCCGUAAUAGGUAUUGGUAUAUACCCGGAUGGCGUUCAUUCUUUCAUUAGCAGUUGACAAAGUUGGAAUUAUUCUAUCUAAAAAAAUUCUACUGUCUUUUUGGUUUGAACUGGGUCAUAUUACAGCACAUGAGAGAGACAUACACAAGCUGGAAGCCUUUGGAAAGUUGAUUAGGUCAUCAAGAAUAUCUGGUUGAUGAACCCUGCAGUUACUUUUUUUUUGGUGUUUAUGGAAUGAAAGGAACUGACGAUGUUUUGAUGGAAUAUCAACUCCAACCCACGCAUCUAAAUGCCUGUUCUGCUGGAUUAAGUUAACCCCUGCAAUUAGUACUGACCAAUUUUUGGAAUCUGUAAGCUCCCUAGUGAUAGAUUGACAAAAUGUAAGGGGACUACCAAAUACUUUUGUUCUUCUGCUUUGUAAUUACACAUCUUCUUGGUGCUUUAUUUAAAUGAAACACUAUUAUUCAACAAGUUCGUCACCCAAUUUUUCAUAAUACCAAGGACCAACUGAGUUGAUAUUUUCCUAGUGGAUAUCAAUGCCGAAAACAAAUAAACACGGAAACCUUAAAAACUGUAGAAAAACAUGUUAUUAUAUCAGUAGCGGAAGGGAGAAAAGUGGUGCUUACCUCAUUAGCAAUGCCAUACUUUGCACAAUCAAUUGCUAGACGGGUUGCACGUCCGAUACUCUCUUUGGUCCGUGAUAAUGUUUCUAUCAUUCCUUCAAAAGCAUCACGAGCAACAGCUGCCUCAGUGCCACCACUGAGUGAGCCCCCAGAGGCCCCCAGGCCUGAAAUUACUCUCUUCUCCUCAUUUUCUUCAGGCUCAGGUGGAUUUAUCGAUGAAAACUGCCGAAUCUCAGACGAAGGAGAUGAGCGAGAAAAUAGAACUUGUGUUUCAGGAUGCAGCAUGCCAGAGCUUAAUGGUUGAGAACCAAGCGCUGGAUGGGGGCUCCCUCCCUGUGGUUCAGCAUAGGGGGCCACAGCAGCAAGGGUAUUACCAUGAAUGCUCUGCAAGUGAGCUUGCCGCCUUUUAGCCUGGGCAGCUGCUAUAAGAUGCUUCAUGGACAUAUCCUGGUCUAGAACUUUGGAAUCUAUCAAAGCAUUAAGCUUCUCAUCUCUCAAAGCUUCAAGCCUGCUUUUGCCAACAAAAAUGGAACAUCACAUCAGAAGGAACUGGCAAUAAGAGGUAUCAAAGAAAAAUCAAAUAUCAAAUGUACCUUUCAAACCGUGUAGACAUGCUUUCAACAGGAUUACCAGGCACAUGAGUGGGUUCAGUCAUCGAGGAACUAGACUUUGGGGUUGUUUUUUUCCUUUCAUUGGUAGAAACUAUCUUACUUCUUUCAUUAAUAGGUUGAUCACGAGGAGGAUUUAAGUUAUCAGCAGCAAUAAUAUUGCCAGUAUCAGAUUCAGCUACCCAUUUUUUAUGAUCACCCUGAGGUUUACCAGGUAGUUUAGCACCUUUUUGUGGCUCUGAGACUGGUUUGACAGUGAACCCAGGGGACUUUUUGGGCGAUAUAGUAUCAGUUUGACCUUCCCUAGAAGUUGUUUUUGGAGUUCCAAAUUUCCCAGGACUACAUGAAACACUUGUAUCAGUAGGUAUACGCUUCUUCUCCACAUUUUUCUGAGAAACACGCCCAGAGAGUUCUUUGUGUAGUCUGACAGAUGGUGCAUGCUCCUUGAUAGAGCUAUCAUCAACCGUGCCCGAGUCUUUCACACUCGGUUGGUCAUUACUAGCUGUUCCAAUAGAUAGGUCAGGCUUCUUCACCGAAUUGGGGACGCGAGAAAUAGCAUCCCUCUUAAUAGAUCCUCCAUGAAUUGGAGUUUUGGGCUCUUCAUUUUCAUUAUCCACACACAAACGGACAGCUCUCCGCUUAGUAGGAAGUUGAGGAACAGGAGAGGAGCUAGACAUAGCCUCCAUUGCCCGUCGAUGGCGCUUUGAUGGUGGGAGAAUAUCUUCUUCACCGCAAUUAUUUGAACCAAUAGCACCUUCAUGCAAUUUCAGCGAAGUGUGAUCCUCGGCUUUUCCCAGUGGUAUUGAUUUUUUAACCUCUGAUUUCACCACUUUAGCCUCAUCAUAAAUUUUGCUCGCCAUAACAGCAUCCAUUGCCCCAUCAGCACAUUUGAUCUUCUUAGAAGGAUCUGCUAUUUCAUUGCGUCGCAACAUCUGUCCAGGUUCAACUUUCAAUUUCUUGCUAGACAACUGAAAUUUGUUCUCCUCAAUAUGGCCGAGAGCAGCAUCCACCGUCUCAGGUUUUCUAUCGUCCUCUCUUUUUAUCUUUUUCCUACCAUCGGUACCUGACUUAACCUCUGGCACUAAUUUUUUGGCACUUGCUUUUUUAACAGUUGGAUCACUGGUAGUAUCACUAAUUCUUUGCAUUUCAUGUCCACCCCCAGCUUUCUUCUUCGCCAGCUUUGCUUUGUGUCCAUUUGUCAGCUGCUUCCGACCACCAUCAAGCUGCUUCACGUCAUUAGAUGAUGUAGGAGGAGGAAAAUCUGCAUCAGGAAAAUGACUCCUCUCAGCAGUUCUCAAGUUCUCCUUGUGGAUCAAUUGCUUAUCACGCUCCUCGGGAUCUCUGUUGUCCUCACUUGUGCUUUCUGGAUUAGGCAAUGAAGCCAACUCCUUUCCUGAAUUAGAAAUCCCACUGUGAAUCGACCCCACCUUUAAAGAUGAAAUUGAUGGAGGCAAAUUACCCUCUGAAUCAUGUGAAACUAUAUCAGCAGUGUCAUCUUUAAUCAUCGAGCAGCGCUCUAGCCCAGAUCCCUCUACAAAGCUUUUGAUAUCUGUUUCUUGCUUAGACUUCUUAUCCCCGUCCAUUUGGUCCAACUCGGUAGCAGCAGACACCCUUUCAACAGAAGCUAUUCCACAGCCUGGAGCUGUUUUAUAAGCCUCAUCUCCUGAAACACUGGAAUCUUUCUGCUGUAACCCUUCAAAUUCUUCACAGAUUUGCCUCACUGCUUGGGCAAAAUGUUUUACUGUUUUGCCCUGACAUCGAGCUGACACUUUAUUUUUAACAUCGAUGGUAAAUGCCGUAAUAUCUGCUGGGGCGACAAAUGCUCUGUUGACAGGGUAAAAAAAGGGGAAGGAAACAUGUUUCAAUGAUGAACAAAUUUCAGAAAAGGAAUGACUCAGGCAGAAUAUAUGGUUUUCCAGACAAGGAUAUUCAAAUUGUAGUCUUCUUCAUAUUUGUUGCCAAAUUCACAUAACAAUUCCUUAAAUAAGUAUAUGAACACAAAAUCAUCAUAUCCAAACUUACUAAUCAGGGAUGUUGCCUGUCCAAAAAAGGAUACAACUAGACUUAAAUAUUACAGCAAUACCACAAUUUGACUUUGCUUUAGGC
rnacentral:lncRNA from 1 species